CUCGAGCACCUAUGGGGCACUGGGGGCCCCUUCUGGUUCGGCAAGGGAGCGGGGGUCGUGCGCAGAGCAGAUCGAGGUCAGGCGCGCGCGGGGAGACGGGCAAUCUUUACCCAGCUUCGGGGCUCUCCAGAGAGAUAACACCCCUACUGCUGCCUUGUGUUGUUAUUUGAUCUAGCUCGAGCGUGCGAGCGUAUGGUGGUGCUGUGGGUGUCGAAUGGACCGAACCCCUUCUACGUGCGCAUGGGCCUCCCUUUUAUAGUCUGAAGGGGGUACCCACAGGUGGCAGCGUAGGAAGAGGGGGUAGAAAUGUAAAAGCGCAGGUUGGUACAACAGUGCACAACAGUGCCCCUACCUAACUCUGACGGCAGGGGACAAGGGCAUUAAAUGCCCGUCCGGUCGCCCCAACAGUGCAGGAGGAGUGACCGUUAAGUGAGCCACCGGUUGCCACGAUGGCGCCUCUGUCAGCUCCGUUUGCCACCUCGCUCCGCAUGGCUGUGUAGCGCCUCGCCACGUGCCCUUGGGAUGGCCCUGCGAUGACACGUCGCUGGGUGCGCUGGAGUCUGGGUGGCAGCCUUGCCGCGGCAAGUGCCUUGCCGCGGCCCUGUUCUUGCUGUGCCGGCAAGCUUGCCGGCUGCCGGGCCUUGCCGGGGCGCGCGGGGCGCCGCGGCAAGUCUUCUGAUGGUGCCCUGGUUGGCCUUCCCGGCAAGCUCCUCUUGCCGGGGCCUUCGUGUUCUUGGCUAGUACAUUGUUCUUGAUUGGCAGUAAUAAGGAGUGGUGGAGAGCCUUGCCGAGCGUCCGGCAAGCCUCGCCGCGGGGUGCUGCGACUGCCCGUGCACAAGUUCGGGGUACUAAGGUACCCCCCUACUUUAGUACACCGACAGGAGCCCCCGGGCCUGGGCCAUACAUGGUGCCGAGCGUUGUUGGGCCAGGCCCAAAACAAUGCAUGGGCACGCGUGGCCUGGGUUCGCACGGCAACGGGCUCCGCGCCCACCGCGCUCCCCCGCAACAGCACGCGUCGAUUGCGGCGUCGUGGGAGACAUGGGUGGCGUUUGCGAUCUUCAAGGCAUCCUCCCUCGUGAUCAUGGCGCAGGGCGAGGUCGCUUCACCCGUCGCCCCGGCUCCUGCUUUUUCGCCACGCGGCUCACAUGCGCGGGGGAUCAUGGGCGGCGAAGGUGGGAGACCGAGCCGUCACGGGCGGAGAUGGCGAGUCGGCCCCGCUCCUCUGCCCUCCUCGCUCCCUGAUUGGCUGACCGGGGCGGCUGAGCCCCCACCUCGUCCUUUAAAAGGGGUGGAAGGGGAGCACAAUAGUCUCGCACUUCCUCUUCUCCCUUUGUCUUCAAUUUCCGCUACUCUUCUCCCCAUCUGCCAUGGAGGGAGGGAAUCCUGGUCCUUCAACGGUGGCAGCGAGGGUCGCCUCCAGGCAGCGCACCUCUCCCUAUCCCGCACCUGUGGUGGCCGAGCCAGCCACGAGGGGCAGAGGGAGAGGGCGAGGCCGCGGACGAGGUCGAGGACGCGGUCGAGGCGGCCGGGGCGAUGCGCCUCCCCCGUCUCCGCCAGCGGCUCCUUUCCUCGAGGCAGUCCACUCCGGAGACGAUCCCUGGGAGUUCUUCAUCAAGCUGCGCCGAGCACCUCGUCGCCGUCUCCGGCUGCCGGCCCCGUUCGCGAGCGCAAUGGAGCCGGAUCCGCCCGAGAUGUUGGAGUUGCGCAUGAGGGGCUGCGGGAUCAGCGGCACUCGAGUGAGUGUCGUAUCCCCAGCCCCCGGCGUGAUGUACUUCGACCGAGGGUGGAAGACGUUCGCCCGCAUCCACAGCUUGACGGCGGGGUUUACCCUCCAUUUUAAGUUAAUGGAGGGCGACCUUCUCGCCGUCAAGGUCUUCGGGGACUCCGGCACCCGGGCGAGAUGCUGUGUGGACAGCUCCUCCGAUAGCGAAGGUCCCUCCUCGAGCGAGAGUGACGAGGAGGGGAGCGACAGCGACGACGACGAGGAUGGCGGGUCCGACUAGGCGUCGGACGCUGCCUCGCGCGCCACCGGAGACCCCAUCAUCCGGGUCGCCGGCCUUCUGAACUCCCCGGGGCCGUCUCCUUGGGCGGCUGGCGUAGGGAGGCUGCGGAAGAGGAAGAGGGGUGGCGGCAAGGCCGUCAAAUCGGAGUACGAGGGCGAGGAGCCCUCGACAGCGUGCUGACGUCCCGCCGCCCCGUCUUCGAGCUCUGCCUCCGGCGCCUCCGUCUCCGCCAAGCCCCUGACCGGCCUCCGGGAAGUUCUCUUGGUGUCUUCUGGCGCUCGUAGCUCUCCUAGGCGCCCCUUUCGCCCUCCCCGGCAAGCUUCUCUUGCCGGGGACUCCUUGACCUACCUCCUGAACAGAGAAACAGGAGGGGGAUUACGGGCACCUUAUCUUUUAAUUUGUAAGCCUUCGGGCCUUAGCUGCAUUUAAAAUCUGUAAUCCUCUCUAUCAUGUUUUUCAUCCUCUUAUGGACUUGUACUAAACUGGGAUAUUUUUAAUGAAAAAGAGGGGAAUGCUUGCCGGACUAAGUCCUUUACUUGAUUUUGUGCUUUGUACAUUCCCACCCUACGCUUCUAGGGGACUUGCCGGAGCGAACACACUUGCUGAGUGCGGGACGUCAGCAGCCCGCUGGCGGUGUUGCUUCCGGCAAGAAACCUUGUCGGGCCAGUUGCAGCGCGCUUGUGUCAUUGAGCGGACUCGGAAACAAACCAAGGGCGCAACUUGGCCGCGACUCGGCUCCUCCGCGCACAGGUUUCUUUUUACAAAGCACACUCGUUCAAGGACGCGGCCCCGCCUUCCCCGGUCCACAAGAGGAUGCAUGACGAGGGAUGAGAAACUUAUCUGACUCCGUAGCUCCCCGGCGACCUUGGUUUGCCGGGGGAGGAACCUUGGCCUUCGCAGCCCCCAGCAACUCUGGCUCCGGCAAGACCCAGGUGCUGGUAUGCCUUCUUUGGCUCUUGUCGCCGAUGCCGCGGCCUCCGGGGGCCCUUGCCCAUCGCAAAGGAGCUUUGGCACUCGCAGCCCCCAGCGAAGCUGGCUUGUCGGGGCCUGUGUGCCAGCGCGCCCUUCUGGCUUCUCCUUGUCACUGUAAUCAUAGCCACGAAAACAACUGAGAUAGCGCUGUAAUAAGCUAUUCUUUCAUGGUGUGACUCUACCACGCGAUGCCAUGCUUUGCCCUUCGUAUGUUCACACUCUACGCUUCUAGGGAACUUGCCGGGGCUAACACACUUGCUGAGUGCGGAACAUCAGCAGCCCGCUGGCGGUGUUGUUUCCGGCAAGAAACUUUCUCGGGCCAGUUGCAGCGCACUUGAAUUGUCGAGCAGACUCGGAAACAAAUCAAGGAUGCAACUCAGCCGCGAGUUAGUUCCUCCGCGCACAAGUUUCUCAUACGAAGGCUGCCCCAUGUGUCGGGGGUUGGGUGCGACAUAUGCCAACGGGUGGCUUAUCAUGGUGGGGGCGAGUAGAACGUCGCUGGUGCCUGGAAACGGGAUGAGGCGAAGACAUGCACGUCGGCGAAUCUUACCCAGCUUCGGGGCUCUCCGAGGAGAUAACACCCCUACUGCUGCUCUGCGGGGUCUCCGCAUGAUCACUAUGGUGCGAUAGUACAAUGGUGCUCCUCGAGCUGUGUGGAGGCAGGAAGGAGCAAGGCUAGCUCUUUCCCUUCUUCUAUAUGUCUAAACCUAUCCAGGGCCGAACCCUUUGCAUGGGUGCCCCGGGGGGUUUAUAUAGGCCUACCCCCCGGGGGUACAAUGGUAAUCCGUCUGGGCGUGGCCCCCAGUCGUCAGUCUCUCUUGCAGCCGUCCUCCCUGCCGGCUUCUGGGGCCCGCCGACUGGCGGGCCCCGCGGAUAGGCAGAACGCUGUGCAGCGCUCUUGAUGACGCAGGCCCGGUCAUGGGGUCGUGGGAACAGUGCCACCGUCUGUCAGGCGAUCACUGUCGCCACUCCCCGUCCAAUCUGGUUUAUGGCUUGUGGGGCCAUGGCCGGGAGGCGGCCGACUCUGGGGAAGCCGACUCCCGUAGGGCCGUCUUCGGACUCUCCGGCCGUCUUCCUCUAUCUCACUGACGGGGGGCCUGGCGAUCUCUGGGCCGUACGCGCCGCCGUCGUGGGCACAGUGCCUUGUGCACUGUGGCUGAGGUCAAGGGAGGCAUGGCGACAGUGCCGCGCCUCACCGGAGAUCUCCUGGUGAUGCGGCUCACUGUACCCAUGUCUUCUUCCCGUGGGUCCAAGGGGACAGCCACGAUGGGGCUGUACCCCGCAUCAGUCUUCGUGAAAGGUCGCGGGCCGACUCUCACAGUCGGCCCCUUGAGAGGUCGCAAGCCAGGAGUCGGCUUGUUUCAGAGUCGCCAUCUGAGGACUCUGCUUCUUCGAAGGUCGCCAGCUGGGACUCGGCCUUCUCGAAGGUCGCCCACCGGGACUCGGCCUUCUCAAAGGUCGCCAGCUGGGACUCGGCUGAGGGGCGCGGCCUGCCCCGAUGUCUUGAAAGAUCUUGGGUCCUGGGUCAGCCUACCGAUGGCCCAUUACUCCGACAGUAGUCCCCGAAGCUGGCGAAGCCCGGCGGGCGCCGCCUCGUGGGGCUUCGGCAGUUUCAGUCUCUGCGGUGCCGACUCUGAGAUUCGGCUGCCGCAUCUUCGGGCCGCCUCGUUGGAGUCGGCCUGGCCCCGUGAGGGGCCGCCGCUCGCAAGUCGUGGCGGGAAACCAGCGGCGUAUCGGCUACGCUUCCCUGCCAUCCAUGAGACGGUCCUAUCACGCGACGCCACGUGGAGGCGAUAGCCUGCCUGCCCACGCGCGUGACGGGACGGGCCGCCAGGUGGGGCCCGCCAUUACCGCGCCUCGGCUCCCGAGCGGAUCCGCUGUGGCCGAGGGCGGUUGGCAUCCCCACGUGGUUACUGCGGGCAGUAACUGCGUGGGGGGUUAAUCGUGGGGCGUCGUGGGGUCGUGGGCGCAGUUAAUCCCCACGUCGCCCCCUCGGCUUCUCAGCCCGCUGGGCUAUAAAUAGGCAGAGGGGGAGCGGCGGCAUAGCACGCGCAUUCCCUCCCCCGCCCUCUUGCCUUUCUUCUUCCUUCGCCCCGCUCCGUCGCUUUCUUCCUCGCCGACGAUGAGCUCUUCCUCCGCCGCGCCCCCCGUCUCGCGCUCCGGCGAAUGGGAUGGCUCAGACGUGGAUGCGGAGGACAUCGAGUUCCUUCGCCGAACCCGCCGCCUCCCGAGCGCGGAUUUGGUGCAGGCCCGCCCUGCACCGGCGGGAGAGAUCCGGCCCGCGCCGGUGGCGGGCGAGCGGGUCAUCUUCCGCUCGCAUCUUAUGCGCGGGAUGGGGCUCCCGGCGAGCGGGUUCCUCCGCUCGUUCCUCGAGUUGUAUAACUUGCAGCUGCACCACCUCACCCCCAAUGCGGUGGUGCUUCUCUCCGCCUUCGCCACACUGUGCGAGGGCUACAUCGGCGUUCUCCCCACCCUCGAGCUGUGGGGGGAGUUCUUCUCUUCGAAGCUCGGCACUCAGGCUGCCGGCACGCCGGCGCAGUGCGGUACCUACAUCGCGUCGCGGCGCACGACGGCCGACAACCCCUUUCCGCCCAUCCCGCUGGUGAAGUCGGUGAAGAUGUGGCAGAAGACGUACUUCUACGUGAAGAACGUCGCCACCGACGGCGACUGGGUCAACUUGCCGCCCUUCAACUCCGAGCCGCUGACUGGCCGGCCGCCUAGCUGGUCCCAUCGGUCGAAGUCGCUUUCGCCCUCCGGAGUCGGCGCCGUGGCGCGCCUCCGAGUCAUGACGCAGUCGGAGGGGCUCAUCGCCUCCGAUCUCCUGGACGCCUUCGUGGCGCGCCGGGUUCUUCCGCUCCAAGGCCGGCCCCACCUCAUCUGUCAGAUGAGCGGCCGACACGAUCCAAGCCGGCUGUGCACCAAGGACAUGCCGCGUGGAGAAGUGGCGAACAUGGUGAACCUCAUCGCCCACUGCAAGUUCACCGACGAGUGGCAGUUCGGCAAGGAGCCGUACUCGCGUGACAACCCUCCGCCAGUGGUAAGUUGUUUCCGUCUGUACUUCGAUCUUGCUUGUAUCUGCCUUCAAACUCUGAUCUUGUUGGCACCUUUGAGCAGAAUCCUCUCACGGCGCCCGCUGCCGGCGCCCUGAGAGAGCCGCGUGAGUACGUCCCCGACCGCGAGGUCAGCGACAUCGACGACCCCGACUUGGGGGCCGCGGCGCUGGAGGCCGACGCCGAAGGCGGCGGAGAGGAAGAAGACGGCGGCCUCAGACCGUCGGCGACCUUCGCCGACUGGCCCGAGGGCGACAUCGACGCGGAAGUCAUCCCGCGCCGCCAGCCAAGAGCCGGCCCCUCCAACCAGGCCGGCGCAAAGAGGCGUCACGCCGGGCCGAGUGCGCCCGGCGGCAGGUCGAAGAAGCCCAGGGGAACCGCCGCCGCGACCAAGCGGGAAGAGGCGGCCGCGAAAGCCAACCGCUUCCGGAAGGAAGUGAAAAGGCCGCCACUUGUUUCUUCGUAAGUCCCUUACCCUUUGUCCCUUUUCUGACUUUGCUUGAAUCUUCCUGACUUUCCCCCCCUUUCUUCUCCAGCGCCCCCCUCUCCCUUGAGAGAGCCGCCAUGCCCUCUGUCAUGGGGUCGGGGGCAACGUCCGCCAAUACGCGGCGGGUCGAUCCCGCCGCCGACCUCCGGGAGGCGACGGAACGGAACGCGCGGGAGAAGCGUGCGGAGGAGGAGGCCGACCGCCUGGAGAAGGCGGCCGCCAACGCCCAGCGGCAUCUGGAUGAGGCCGUGGCCGCGGCCGCGGCCGCGGCAAAGCGGGAUGCUGAGGAGGCCGUUCGUCGCCGAGCGGCGAUGCUCGUUCCUCCGCUGUCGUCAGCGCCGCCGCCCCCCGAGUUCACGGGGCAGACCGGGGAGGUCGGCACCGCAAACCCUCUCGCGAAGGAUGGUGACGACGCCUCGGGCUCGGACACCCACGCGCCGCCUCCGCUACCUCCGCCGCCUCCGUCUUCGAGGCCGCACGGUAAGCAGCCGGUGGACCCGCAGGAUCCGCCGACUGCGGACGACGCCGAUGCGCAGCUGCUUCUCCAGGUCGCCGUGCCGACACGCCGCCGGGUCGAGAGGACGAGCUCCGCGUCGCGAGCUCGGGAGACUGACGUCGCCGGCAUGGCGAACCUGGUUGCUGAAGCCUCCAGUGCCGUGCCCACCGGCUGGGUGCGCAAAGGCGGCACCGGCCCGCUGAACUAGGCGCUUCUGGACGUUCAGUCCAAGUUGCGCAAAGAAGGCGACGCCCUCCAGCUCUACACCAAGACGCAUCUGGCCCUGCGGGCCUCCGUCCGGGUAUGCUUUGUUUUUUCCUUUUUUUGGUCUCUUGUCUUUUUCUGUGGGGGCGCGCCAGCGCACCCACUGGGUGUAGUCCCCGAGUUCGGAGUCGGCUGCUGAGCAGGCGGCUCAGAACUCCUUCUAGCGGGCUCCGAAGGCUGACUUUGCUUUGCCGGCCUUGCAGGAGUACCACAAUCUCCGCGCUACUGCCUUCAACCGCAACGUUGAGGAGAUGAGGAAGCGGACCGCCGAUCUGGCGGAAAGUCGAGGUGAGCGGAUUCUUCCUUCUUCGUGGGGGCGUGCUGGCGCACCCGCGGGCUGUAGUCCCCGAGAUUCGGGCCGACUGCUGAGCGGUCGGGCUGGAUCUCUCCGGCGACCUUCUUUCUUUCUUCUCCGCGAGGGCGUGCUGGCGCGCCCGCAGGCUGUAGUCCCCGAGAUUCGGGCCGACUGCUGAGCAGUCGGGCCGGAUCUCCCCGGCGACCUUCUUUCUUUCUUCUCCGCGGGGGCGCGCUGGCGCGCCCGCGGGCUGUAGUCCCCGAGAUUCGGGCCGACUGCUGAGCAGUCGGGCCGGAUCUCCCCGGCAACCUUCCUUAUUGACGAUGCUUUGUCUUUCUUUGAGCUUCAGACGCCAAUGCCGCCCUUCAAGGGCAGCUGGAUGAGGCCAAUGCCGCCCGUCGCACUAAGGAGGAGGAGUGCGACAAGCUCGUUCGAGAGCGCGACCUUCUGGCGACGCGGCUGGCCGAGCAGAAGGACCUGCUUCGGAAAGCACAGGAGGACGCCAAGUCGCGGGAAGAGGCCCUCCUAGCCGAGUUCGCGAUGGAGCGGGCCGCCUGGACCGACCGUGAGGCGAUGCUGACCUCCGGCUAUCACGAGCUCGAGGACAUCGUCGAUGGUAACUCCUGGCUUCUUUUCUUUGGUCUUUCGACUCUGUGUCGAACUGUCUUCUGGUUUUUCUGACUGUCUCCUUUUCUUGUCUUUGGCAGACUUCUUCCCCGGCCACUCGCAGGCCGUCCCUCUGGCCAUCGAGGCGGAUCGGGAGGAGCGGAGGGCGCAGGGCGAAGUGAUCGCAGCCAACGCCCCCCGAACCAUUGACGAGCAGCUCUUGAGCAUCGGGGCUCGCCUUCGCCCUGCUCACCGUUUGAUGCGUCGCCUUCAACGCGCCGGCGCCCAAGUCGUUACCGCCCUGUGGCCGGAGGUGCCGGCUCUUCGCAUCGCCAGUCGGACGGCCGACUGGCUGGAGGUCGCCGUCGGUCGCUUCGAAGCUUGGAGGGGCUCCUCGGCCCGCGUCGGAGCACGCCGGGCCCUGGAGUUCGUCAAGGGGUGGUACCCUAGGCUGGAUUUGCCCGCCUGGCCGCGUUCCGGUCAGAGGCCCAGGCCGAGUUGGGGGCCGUGGAAGGCGCCCUUGUCGAGCGCGCGGCGGCCAUCGCCGAGUACACGGACACCAGUGUCUUUGUGCCCGAGCGGACCGCCGACGGCGAGGAGGUUCCGCCCGAGUGGUUCGGGAUGCACCCAGGGUAUGAGGAGGACUCGGCGGAGGUAAUCGGCUCCAGCACCGAGGGGGAGGGCGAGUCGGAGGACGGAGGCGAGGAAGAGGCGCCAGAACACGAAGCAGGCGGCCAACCUCAGCCUGAUCGCGCCCCCAGCAACGAGCCUCGAAAGGACCAGGCGACCGUCGCUGAAGGCGACCAAGCCGAGACCGCCCAGCCGACUGUCCUGACGUCGGACGCCGCCGCCGCCUCCGGCCCUCCGGCUCCGGAGGCCGCCCCCUAGAGUGCAUCAGCUUUACCUGUCUCUUUUGUUCUUUUUUUUUAAAAAAAAUUGUCAGUUGCGAACAAUUCCACCCGCGGGGUGUAUUCGGCCAAGGGCCUUAUGUAAAUAUUUAUCAAAUUUCCGCCUUUCCUUGCUUUGGCUCUUUAGACUUUUUUCCUUUGCCGCCUUCCUUCGGUUGCCGCCUUGCCGACUGGGCAGCCGCUCUGCGGACUGCCGCUGGGUCAAGCGCUCAGCUACUUUAGGAGGCAAGUACUUAGUCGUUUAGAACGCCGUAGCAAGUUUGGCUGGAGAUCGACAGGCCGACUCUCGAAAGUCGGUCGUCCUUGAUAAAGGUUGAAACUAUGAGCCGACUGCUCGUGAGUCGGCUCAGCAGGGGGAAACUGGGAGCCGGCUUGGGCUAUGCGUAGCUCUUAAGUCCUUAGCCGUUUUUCAUGUGUGCGCUCGCUCUUUCUAUCUCCCCGUUUACCGACAGUCGCUCUGCGAGCUGCGGCUUUCCGUAGGAGACGGCUUUGAGCGCAACACAUUACUUGUCUGACCUCAAAGAGCAUUUCAUAGCACAAGGCGGCGAGUCCCCGGGCCGACUAGUCGGACCCGGUGCCAGAUAGUAUGAUAAAAAAGGAGGAAGCAUUUCGGAAGCCAGAUCCAUAUCAUACAGAUAAUCAAAAAGGCAGUCCCCGAGCUUGUCUCGGGGGGCCUAAGGUCUUAGUACUUAAUACAAAAAAAGGGGGGUAGCGUGAUACAUACUGCAUCAACUGUAAAAUCUUCGAAGAAGAUUUGCGUUCCACGGGCGCUCUGUUUCUUUGCCAGAGUCGUCUCUCUUGCAUGCUCGAGGCUUCUGAGCGUCGAUCAAGUAGUAGGCGUCGUUCCCUAGCACCUUGCUGAUGAUGAAGGGACCCUCCCAAGGCGCCGACAACUUGUGCUGGCCGGCUGUUCUCUGAAUCAACCGGAGCACAAGGUCGCCCUCUUGGAAUGUUUGCGUAAUUGGCGUCCCAGUCGCCGGAUGACUGCUGAACCACCAAGUCGGAGUCGCCAUAGCAUAGGAUCCGGCGAAUGCCAAGUUCCUUGGCAAGCCGGAGCCCGUGGAUGAGCGCUUCAUAUUCGGCGACGUUGUUGGAGGCGGCGAAGUGGAUUUGCAGCACGUAUUUGAGCUUGUCGCCCUUAGGGGAGGUGAGGACGACGCCGGCUCUGAGGCCGGAGCGCAUCUUGGAGCCGUCGAAAUGCAGUCGCCAAUGAGUAGAGUCGGGCGCAGGCGGCAAGUAUUGAGUCUCGGCCCAGUCGACGAGGAAGUCGGCUAGCGCCUGCGACUUGAUGGCGGUGCGAGGUUGGUAGUAGAUGGUGUAGGGAGCCAGAUCGAUAGCCCACUUGGCCACUCGGCCAGAAGCAUCUCGACUUCCGAUGAUCUCGGCGAGUGGGGCGGUGCAGACCACGGUGAUUGGAUGCUCUUGAAAGUAAGGCUUCAGCUUCUUGGCGGCAAAAUGCACGCCGUAGCACAUCUUCUGGUAGUGAGGGUAGUUCUGCUUGGAGGUCGACAGUACCUCGCUCAGGUAAUAUACUGGUCUCUGGACCGGGAGCGCCUUGCCUUCCUCCUUGCGGUCGACUACAAUAACUGUGCUGACUACCCGGCUGGUGGCGGCGAUGUAUAAGAGCAUGGGCUCUUUGGGAGUCGGAGCCGCCAACACAGGGGGAGUCGCCAGCAUCUUCUUCAGUUGGAGAAAUGCCUCAUCUGCCUUGUGGUUCCACUCGAAAAAAGUGGUCUUCUUCAUCAGUUGAUACAAUGGCAGAGCUUUCUCGCCCAGCCGACUGAUGAAUCGGCUUAUUGAAGCCAAGCAGCCGGUGAACUUUUGCACAUCCAACAGUCGGCUGGGUACCUCCAAACUCUCUAUGGCCUUGAUCUUCACAGGGUUGCACUCUAUUCCGCGUUCGGAGACCAGAAAACCAAGGAGCUGGCCGGCUGGGACUCCGAACACGCAUUUCUCUGGGUUGAGCUUGAUCUGGAAUCGGCGCAGAUUCUCAAAGGUCUCUUUAAGAUCCUCUAGCAGCGUCCCACGCUUCUCCUUCUUUACCACCACAUCAUCCACAUAAACAUGGGCAUUCCUGCCGAGUUGCUUGAGGACGCAUUUCUGCAUGCAACGCUGAAAGGUGGCGCCGGCAUUCCUCAAGCCGAACGUCAUCGUCAGGUAGUAGAAGGCUCCAAACGGCGUGAUGAAUGCGGUCUUUAGUCUGUCCGCUGGAUUCAGCUUGAUCUGGUGAUAUCCUGAGUAUGCAUCCAAGAAGCUCAACAGCUCGCAUCCGGCUGUGGAGUCUAUCACUUGAUCGAUCCUUGGCAGAGCAAACGGAUCCUUCGGGCAGGCUUUGUUGAGGCUGGUGUAGUCGAUGCACAUCCGCCAUUGCUUGUUCUUCUUCAGCACUAGUACGGGGUUGGCCAACCAUUCCGGAAAAAACACCUCCAUGAUGAAGCCGGCUGCCAGGAGCCGGGCUAUCUCUUCUCCCACUACUCUUCUUUUCUCUUCUGAUAGGCGGCGCAAAGGCUGCCUGACGGGCUUCACAUCCGGCCUGACAUGUAGCUUGUGCUCGGCGAAUUCCGUCGGUACACCUGGCAUGUCCUUGGGGGACCAUGCGAAGAUGUCCCGAUUCUCACGGAGGAAAUCGACGAGCUCGCCUUCCUAUUUGCUGUCGAGGCCAAUGCCCAUGACAGCGUACCUCUCUGGGUGCUCCGGGUCCAAGGGUAUCUUCUUGGUUUCUUUAGCCGGCUUGAAUGAUCCUUCUGCCUCCGACUCCUUGGGGUCGGGCGACAUCUCCGGCUGCUUCCCAGCCAUCGCCACGACGCGAUCAAGGAGCCGCUUCUCGGCUGCGAUCACCAAAGACUCGGCCAGCCGACUGCUCUCAGCCGCACAGGCGGACGACUUCUUGUAGUCGCCGGCAACGGUCAGGAUCCCCUUGGAGGUCGGCAUCUUCAUCUUGAGGUAGGCGUAGUGGGGAACCGCCAUGAAUUUGGCCAAGGCAGGCCGACCUAGCAGCGCGUCGUACGGGCUCUCCAAAUCCACCACCUCGAACCAGAUCGGCUCUCGGCGGAAGUGAUCUUUGUCUCCGAAGAGGACGUCUAUCAGGAUCUUGCCAAUCGGCGAACAGGAGAGGCCAGGUACGAUUCCAUUGAACACGGUGCGGCUGCUCUACAGCUGCCUCCGCCUGAUUCCGAGCUUCUCCAUGGUGUCCUUGUACAUGAUGUUUAUGCUGCUGCCUCCGUCUAUCAGGACCCGCGAGAAACGGGCGGCCCGCCUAUCAGUGGCCAAGGUUGCACCAAGAACCAAGGCGUAAGAGCCCGGGCUCGGCAUCACCUCUGGGUGAUCUGCCCGACUCCAGCUGAUAGGCUUCUCGGACCAAUGCAUGAACUCAGGAGCUUCUGCUGCUACUGCGUUGACUUCUUGCUGCUGCUGGCGCCUGCUGCGCCGAUCAUCUGCCAGACUGGUGAACACUAUGUAUGCUCCGUGCUCUUCUGGGAACUCGUCUUGGACCGCGCCGACUGGCCGAGCCACCGGCUGCGGAGGCGGCGGAGGCCCUACAGGCGGCGGAGGGGCGAGGCCGUCUCCCUUGGUGAUCUGGACGAGCCAGUGGCACUUUCUGGUGGUAUGGUUUGAUGGUUUCGCGCCGCUGUGAAACUUGCAAGGACCAUCCAGAGUCUGCUCAUAAGAGAAAGCCGGCAACCAAUUGGACUUGCCGCCCUUCUGCCGCUUGGCCGGAGGCUGCCCCUCUAGUUGCUGAUCUUCUACUGCUGCGACCUGCCGACUGUUGGAAGUCGGCUGGGGGGCUUUGCGCUUGUUGUCGUUCUGUUGCUGCCGUCGGCUGGCGUCUCCAGCCGGCGUUCUGGGAGCCUGGGGAGUCACCUUGCCAGCUGCGUUGACUUGGAUCUCCGUCUUCAUAGAGGAGUCGGCCGUGGCGUACUUGUCUGCUAUGAUUAGCAGUUCGUCGAGGGUUUCGGGCUCGUCGCAGAGGAGCUUGUGCUUGAGGAGGGUGCCCUCUCGGCACCCGGCCGUAAAGUACUCAAUGGCCUGCACCUCGUGCACGCCCUCGCAGGAGUUUCGGAGCUCGCCCCAGAGCGUGAGAUAGUCGCGCGUCGAUUCCUCGGGGCCUUGCACGCACAAGGAGAGCUGGCGCGGCUUGGGAGGUCGCUUGUACGUGCUGGUGAAGUUGCGAAUGAAGGCUUCAGUGAAGUCGACCCAGCUGUUGAUGCUGCGGGGCUUCAGGCUGUUCAGCCAUGUCCGGGCCGUGCCCUGGAGCAUGAGGGGAACAUACUUUAUGGCGACUCGCUUGUUGCCGUUGGCGAUGUUGACGGCUGUGGAGUAGUCUAUCAGCCAGUCCUCCGGCUUCACGGAGCCGGUGUAUUUGGGCGUAUCUCGAGGGAGCGUGAACUCUUUGGGGAAGGGCUCAUUUCUGAUGCGGGGCCCAAAGCAAGGCGGACCCAGCUCGUCUUCUUCUUCUAACGCCAGGGAUCUGUGGAGUCGGUCGAUCCGGUGGCGGGCAUCGUUCUCUCCGACUCCCUCUCGGCGGCCAAGGCGAUCUCCGAGAGUCGGAUGCUCAACAGGCGGCGGAGAGACUCGCCGUUCUCUUCGGGGCGGGGGAGGCAGAUAAUCAUCUCGUCGCUCCACUGCUCUGGGGCGGCCAUCUUGGUCGCGCUCGAUGGAGAUGCGAGUCCGGCUGCGGCUCGUAGCCGGCUCCUUCUCUUUCCUCCCGCGGACUCCGCCAGUCGGCGUCCGGGAGGUCGCGCCUUGAUCUCGGCGAGGGGGUAAGUCAUCAUUCUGCUGCUGCUGCAUGUUGGCGCGGCCGCCUGCCGCGUUCUGCGCAGCAACCGCGUCGAGGAGCUGCUGGACUCGCUCCGUCAUCACACGGCGCUCUUCGCCUUCGAGGUUCCUUAGCUCUUCGGUUGCCGCUUGGGCGGCGCGGAUGUUCUCCACAGGGGUGGCGUAUACGGGGCGCUUCGCUCCGAAUAGAUCGGCUAUGGCCGCGCCGCGCUCUCGGACCACACCGAGACGGCUCGGCCCAGUAGGAGCCGGCGAGCCGCCCACAGCACGGUCCAUCUCGCGCUGAUAUGCUUCGGACAAGCGUCUCAUGCUUGCCAACUUCUUGGCGCCUUCAAUGAUCUGAAGGCGGCGCUCUUCCAGCAUCUCUGCGUCCGCGUCCUCUGGGAGGGGCGCGGACAGGUCCUGCAGGGCCGCAGGCAGCGGGUCCUGGGCGUUUUCACCGGAGUGCUCGUCGUGGCCGAUGACGAGCAUCUCCGUGACGGCGCUUCCGUCGCUCUCCUCGUACGGAAGCGGCUCGUCGUAAACCACCACGUUGGUGGGGAAGGUAUCAAGCGAUACGGCGUCGGAGUCGACCAGCAUCGGGUCGGAGGAGCCUACGGACUCCAAGUCUACGGCGGGCUCGCCGGCGACUUGAAGUUGGUCGAGGAGGCCCGCGAGAAGGUUCUCGGGGCCACCCGCGCCUGCGCUCGGCACGGGUUCGUCGGAGAGGCGCACCUCGCCGAUGAGUUCGGCGAGGCCGCUCGCUGCGCAGGCGGCUUCGGCGCCGCGCAGUGCGUCGAUGCAGACUCCAUCUGGCGAGCCGGGCUGGCUGCGCUCGCCAGGGAGGAGGGUUCCCGUCCAGAACAGAUCUCCGGACGACGGUGCACCUCGCCCCACGGUGGGCGCCAAAUGUCGGGGGUUGGGUGCGACAUAUGCCAACGGGUGGCUUAUCAUGGUGGGGGCGAGUAGAACGUCGCCGGUGCCUGGAAACGGGAUGAGGCGAAGACAUGCACGCCGGCGCAUCUUACCCAGCUUCGGGGCUCUCCGAGGAGAUAACACCCCUACUGCUGCUCUGCGGGGUCUCCGCAUGAUCACUAUGGUGCGAUAGUACAAUGGUGCUCCUCGAGCUGUGUGGAGGCAGGAAGGAGCAAGGCUAGCUCUUUCCCUUCUUCUAUAUGUCUAAACCUAUCCAGGGCCGAACCCUUUGCAUGGGUGCCCCGGGGGGUUUAUAUAGGCCUACCCCCCGGGGGUACAAUGGUAAUCCGUCUGGGCGUGGCCCCCAGUCAUCAGUCUCUCUUGCAGCCGUCCUCCCUGCCGGCUAGUCGGCGGGCCCCGCGGACAGGCAGAACGCUGUGCAGCGCUCUUGAUGACGCAGGCCCGGUCAUGGGGUCGUGGGAACAGUGCUGCCGUCUGUCAGGCGAUCACUGUCGCCACUCCCCGUCCAAUCUGGUUUAUGGCUUGUGGGGCCCUGGCCGGGAGGCGGCCGACUCUGGGGAAGCCGACUCCCGUAGGGCCGUCUUCGGACUCUCCGGCCGUCUUCCUCUAUCUCACUGACGGGGGGCCCGGCGAUCUCUGGGCCGUACGCGCCGCCGUCGUGGGCAUAGUGCCUUGUGCACUGUGGCUGAGGUCAAGGGUGGCAUGGCGACAGUGCCGCGCCUCACCGGAGAUCUCCUGGUGACGCGGCUCACUGUAGCCAUGUCUUCUUCCCGUGGGUCCGAGGGGACAGCCACGAUGGGGCUGUACCCUGCAUCGGUCUUCGUGAAAGGUCGCGGGCCGACUCUCACAGUCGGCCCCUUGAGAGGUCGCAAGCCAGGAGUCGGCUUGUUUCAGAGUCGCCAUCUGAGGACUCUGCUUCUUCGAUGGUCGCCAGCUGGGACUCGGCCUUCUCGAAGGUCGCCCACCGGGACUCGGCCUUCUCAAAGGUCGCCAGCUGGGACUCGGCUGAGGGGCGCGGCCUGCCCCGAUGUCUUGAAAGAUCUUGGGUCCUGGGUCAGCCUACCCAUGGCCCAUUACUCCGACACCAUGGCAAGGCUUGCUAUGUUACGCCCUCUGCUUCGUUGUAUCCCUUGUACGUUUUUAACCCUACGCUUCUAGGGAACUUGCCGGGGCUAACACACUUGCUGAGUGCGGGACGUCAGCAGCCUGCUGGCGGUGUUGUAUCCGGCAAGAAACCUUCUCGGGCCAGUUGCAGCGCACUUGUAUUGUUGAGCAGACUCGGAAACAAAGCAAGGACGCAACUUAACCCCGAGUUGGUUCCUCUGCGCACAGGUUUUUUUUUGUACAAAGGAUAAACGCUCGAGGGACAUAACACAAGGCUAUAGGACUAAAAAGUGCUCUGUACAAAAGCUCGGGUGACUUAGCUUUUCUGUCUUCAGCAGUCCGACGGGGUCGUACUUCUUCCCUGGUUUCCACCACCCCCUUGUAUGUUUUCUUCCUCACGCUUUCGGGGAACCCUUCGGUGCAAACACGCUCACUGAGCGCAGGGCAUCAGCAGCCCGCUGGCGGUGUUGCCUCCGGCGGGAAGAACUCGGCGGGCUGGUUGCGGUGCGCUCUUACCGUCUAGCGAACUCGAAGCGGAUCUACGGCGCAACCUAACCACGAUUCGACCCCUCUGCCCUCGGGUUCUUCAUACAAGGUGUGGACUUCUAGGAAGCACAAUCUCAAAAGUUCGAAGUUUGGCAGCUUUCUUUGCCUCAUCGGCCGGCAGAGCUCGAUGGCGCGUCCUCGACGGUAGCGCGGUACUCCGGAGAGGCGGGCUUGCCGGAGCGAGCGCCAGAGCUGUUCUCGCCGGGCUUAGCCUUUGGUUGGUCUGCCUUCGCCUUCUCGCACUUGCCGGUGGAGCUCGAUGGUGCAUCCUCGACGGCGGCGCAGCGCUCCGGGGAGGUGCGCUUGCCGGAGUCGGCACCAGAGCUAUUCUUGCCGGACUUGGCUUUCUUCUUCCCCCGGGGAGCUUCAGCGGCAAGUGGCUCGUGCUCUACUGCGGCUGCUGCUUCCCGGUAGAUCUUGUCGGCGCAGAUGAGCGCAUCCCUCUUAUCGCCUUGGACAGAGAUAACACUCAUCGGGCCGGGCAUCUUGAGCACAUUAUACGCGUAGUGAGAGGACGCCAUGAACUUGGCGAGUGUGGGUCGGCCAAGUAUCCUGUUGUAGGGCAAGGGGAUAUCAGCCACAUCGAACGUGACCCUCUCAGUCCUGAAGUUCAGUUCGCUGCCGAACGUUACUGGCAAUGUGAUCUUCCCCUUAGGCUUGCUCCUUCCCGGAUUUAUUCCUUGAAAGGCACCAGUUUCUUCGAGCUCGCUGUUGGGGAUCUGGAGCUUCUUGAGCACUGCGGAGGAAAUCAAGUUCAGGCCGGCCCCGCCGUCAACCAGCAUCUUCGUGACCUUGAGGUUGCGGAUUGUUGGUGAAACCAGCAUCGGCAAGCACCCGACCGCAGUGACACGAUCAGGGUGGUCCUCAACGUCGAAGACGAUGGGCGUGCCGGACCACUUUAGAGGCCUGCGUGCCUCGACGGAUGGCUCCGCUGCAUUCACUUCUCGCACCCAAUGUUUGAGUUGGCGGUGCGAGGUGUGCAGGGAGGCGCCGCCGUCGAGGCACAACACUUCUGUCGCCUUCUGAAACUCUUGAUCAUCAGCCUCGUCUUCCUCCAUCUCUUCAUCCUCAUCUUGAUCUUCGUCUUUGUCGCGGCCGCGGGGAGGCCUGUCUCCUUGCCGCGGCUUAGCCUUGCCGCGGAGUCCCCCCCGGGCGGGAAGCUUCUUGCCGGAUCCUCCGCCACCUCCCUGGGCUCUCUCCUUAUCGCGGCGCUCAUACUCUGCUUUUUGCAGCUCCGCCAUCUGCUCUACUUUUUUGCAGGUUUGGAGAUCAUGGCCUUUGGUGCGGUGAAUCUUGCAAUAACGCUUGCCGGAGCCAUCCUGCUUGUCGGCGGCUGCUACAGCCUCGCUAGAGUCGUCGGUCUUGGCCUUGUCGGAGCCGCCUCCGUUGCCGGAAUGCUCAACAGCUAGCACAUCCUUAGCUUUCCUCUUCCUGUUGUUCCGCCUCCGGUUCUUCCUUGCCGGGGCGGCACCCUCACUGUCAGAUCCUUCUGCUCCGGCAAUCUCUCCGGGGAUUUUCCUCCCCUCCUCAGCUCGUGCACACUUGUCGGCCAGAGCGUAAAGCUCACUGACAUCUCUGAUCUUGCACAUCGCCAUCUCCUCCCUCAUCCUGCAGUUACGCACGUUCUGAUGAAACGCGCUAAUAACCGCGGCAGGGUGGACGUCUGGGAUCUUGCGUUGCACCUGGCUGAAUCUUUGUAUAUACUUGCGUAGGGGCUCCCCCUCCUUCUGGACGAGCAAGUGGAGGUCACUUUCCUGGCCAUGAGGCUUGUGGCCACCCGUGAAGGCGCCGACAAACUGAUGGCACAGGUCCGCCCAUGAGGAGAUGGAGCCGUCCGGCAAGUGCAUGAGCCAAGAUCUGAUGUUGGGCUUGAGUACCAGCGGGAAGUAGUUGGCGAGGAUCUUCUCGUCGCGCCCUCCGGCAGCCUGCACUGCGAUGGUGUAGAUGCUGAGGAACUCCGACGGGUGUAUCCUGCCGUCAUACUUCUCGGGCACGUCUGGCUUGAAAUUCUUGGUUUUGGGCCACUGGACUUGCCGCAACUCGCGGGUGAACGCAGGGCAACCUGCCGCGUACGGCAAGUCGCCUGGUUCUCCGGGUGCGUGCGCGUCGACAGCGGGCCCAGCGCGCUGGUCAGAUUGACGUCGCGCUUCUCUCCGGCGCUCGAUGCGGGUACGAGCGUCUUCGUGUUGCCGUUCUUGGAGGACGUGGCGUUGAUCGCGGCGAGUUCGCGGGUUCGACGAUGCGGUGGAGUCGCCGUCGGGGUUGGUCCGGCGAGCCGGCGAUCUUGGCCUUCGGGGCUGGGAGUGCACAGAGGUGGCGCCCCCAGCGGUCUUGUCGGCGUCGGCUUGCGCCUGGGCGCCUUGCCGGGGCCUCGACGCGCUCGGUCGCCGGGGUUUGUCGCCGUUGGCGAAGCCGAUGAGGCUGUAAAUGGUCAUCCUCCAGUCGUCGAUCUUGUGCGGCGCCGGAGGGUAGUCUGGAAGCAGCUGGGCUCGGGUCAGCGCUUCCUCUACUGUCUUGGGUGGCGGUGGUGAUGAACGGCGCAAAGAGCGGGAGGUGCUUGGACUCCCAACUGGAUUGGGAGGUACCACACCCCGUCUGGGCGACCGUAUCUCGCUCGCGCCAGCAUGCGGGCGUGCAUGCUGACCUCGAGCGUCCCGCGACCCACCAGGUUGGCCUUGUUCCAACGCGAGCACGGUGCUAGGAGCACCGGGGCGUUGUUGACCUUGCACCUCCUGAGAGGGGUGCGGCGUCUGCUCGGUCGCCGAUGCUUGCGGGGCCUUGUUUUUGGAUCUAGUGACGACACAAGAUCCACCGGCGGCGCCCGCUCCUCCGCCGGCGUCCACUCUGCCGCCCGUUUGCUCCGGCGGUGGUGGCAGAACCGACAUAGACGGAGCGGCCACCUCCGAAGGCUUCUUCUUCGGUGGCAUGUUGACGAUGACGUUGAUGUAGCGUGCGUGGAGACCGGAUUAGAUGCUCACGACCUCGACGCCCCCCUACCUGGCGCGCCUAAGAUGUCGGGGCUUAUCUCUGGCCUCGAGCACCUAUGGGGCACUGGGGGCUCCUUCUGGUUCGGCAAGGGAGCGGGGGUCGUGCGCAGAGCAGAUCGAGGUCGGGCGCGCGCGGGGAGACGGGCAAUCUUUACCCAGCUUCGGGGCUCUCCGGAGAGAUAACACCCCUACUGCUGCCUCAAAGAACCAGCUCGUCGGGGCGUCAUUCGCCCUCACGACUACCUCCACGUGAUACUCCUUCUUGGUGCUGUCGACCCAGUGCUCGUGGUAGGAGAAGGUGGGGACUCGAGUGAACUGGCACUUCCUGAGGCUAUCCUCAAGAAGCAUGGGAAACCCAGUGGUCAGGAAGUCCUCGGGUACGGCGGCCAUCUACAAAAAGUGGAAGGGGAAGGGUCAAUAAAGGAAUGUGACCUGUGUUUGGGAUGCUAACAUAAAACAUAGGUAUAUGGGUAAUCUAGGGGAUAGUCUCGCUCUAUCUAACGUCCAUGCUAACUAAGGCUUCCUACAGUCAGGAUGGCUCUGGUACCAGCUCUGUGGGGACCCCGACUCGCAAGUCGUGAUCACCGAAUGCACGUGUACAGUGAUCCCAGAGAUCAAUGCUCACUGAACACACAGAAGCUGGAUAACAAGAGUCUUACAUCCAUACAUACCGUCUUACACAAAUAGAGACCAACAUGGUCAAGUCUUACAUCGAUAAAGCCUUAAAGGCUGAACAUCAAAUGAAACAUAGUAGCGGAAAACGUCAUCGAUAAGUAGAACCCAUGCCAUCUGCCUUAACCCUACAGGCAUUCUGACUGGGAAACGUCCUAGUUCGCAUGAUCGUCUCCAAAGAACUCUUCUUCGAACUCCGGUUCUUCCAUGCCUGGUCAAUUAAAUAACCAGUGGCAAGCCAAUGAGUACUUUGAAUGUACUCGCAAGCAACCCAUGAUUUGGUUCAAGGUACAGUAAUGCAUGACAUAGGUAAAGUUUUGCAUAAAGCUAGUUUUGAGUGCAGGACAUGUUCAACAUCCUAUAAAGCAUGCAUCAAGAGAAUUCAAGUAACCAUGAGAACUGGUCACAGAUAUCAACAUAAAUAGAAUGGGCACCAACCCAUUUAGCAUAAACAGAGUGGGCACCAACCCAUCUCAAUCGUGUCAAGUCCUUUGACUUGAUCCAAGACAACACCAUCAUCUCACACACACCGGUUUGAAAACAAGUGGACGUAGCCCAAGAGCGGUUACCCAACUGUCCAUGACCGUGGACACGGCUAUUCGAAUAGUUUUACACUCUGCAGAGGUUGCACACUUUACCCACUAGAUCCGGGGAACUUCCGUGUCAAUCCACGACCCGCGGUACCUCAAGUACCCGGGGUAAGCACCCGAUCACUACCUUUCCCUAGACGACACUAACAUGGAGUCCACUCGAUUGGCAGUAACCCCCGUGCCCAACAUCUCACAUAACAAUUUCGUGGAGCCUUGCUCCCAUAUCCAUCACAUACCACUGGCACGGGGUACCAACGGUGUGUCCGGUGCCCCAUAAAGAUGGUCAUGGCCGCCCUACCUGGCACGACCCCGUCCCAAGAGAGAGCACCAACUCUCCCCCGUCACUAGUAAUGCGGGCUCCAAGCUAGUAUCCGACUAGGUACUCAAUAAUGCCCCUUUCCCAUAUAAGGGUAGAGUGGUCGCGCAUGUAAGGUUGGAAUAACGGUCGCAACUCCGACCAAUCCGUUUUGAAAACAACACACACCUUCCUUGGCACACCACUUCGUUAUCAAGUGGUCACCCAUCUCUUCAUCUCCCUCGGGCAUAAGUGGCACCCGACGGGGUUUUCGAAAAUACUUUUGAAAUCACUUUGCCUUCUUCACCAUGCACAAACCCAUCCCGUUUGCGUAGCAUCUACAUUUGCAUCCUAUCUACUCCCACCGGCAUAACCCUCAUAAGAAGGUAGGGCCAUGCACAAUGCAAGUAUCAACGAGGAAUGUAAUCGUGGCAACCACCCACGUGGUUCACCAUCUCGUCAUGAUUCCGAUGCAUCAUCAAUAAAGAGCUAAAAAUGACAUGCAUAUAAAGGGGUAUCAUAGUCAUGGUCAAAGGGCUGCUUGCCUUGGUUGGCUUGAUCUUCAAAGUCUUCAGGCCCCGCUCCUCCUUCUUCCUCAGCUACCUCGUCAAACACGGGAUCUAACGUCGCAAGAAAACAACGGGAAAAUAAGACAAUAAUAAAAACAGAAAAAUCAAAGUGCUCACAAAAAUGUCAACUUAUUUUUGUAAAAUACUAGAAGGAAAGCUAGGAAGGGGGCAACUUUUGGUUUUGGUUCUGGAGCAGCAAAAUAGGAGUUGUGGAUUUUCAAAGGCUUAUUUAAAUGCCAAAAACCACAUUUAAAUAUUUACAGAGAAGAAAAGGUGAUUGGAUUUGAGUGAAAGUUGCACCAUUAAAUAGGUUACAAUAUUCUAGGAAUUUAGAAAUUGGAAUCAAUGUAUUUGGAUUAAUAUUCUGCCCUGUGGAAUAUUUGGAAAUAAUACAGAAAAGGAAAAAGAAUAACGGCGCUGUGCUACUGGGCCAGAGAGGCCACAGCAGCAGCAGGCCCAGGGGGAAAACCCAGCCCACGCGGCCGCCACGUCGAAGGCGUAAAGGCUGAAUACGCCUUCAGCCGACGGCGGGUCGGUGCGCGCGCGCGCGCACGUUUUAAACCUGACGGGUGGAGCCCACCCGUCAGGGCGUGAGGCUGACUGGCCGGCCCCACGGCGGCCGUCGUCUACCUCCGGCCAGAGGCGACGGCGAGCUCGCCGGCGGCGAUACAGGGCACGGGAAGGGGCGCGGAGGCUACCGUUGGACUCAGGAGCGAGUCGCGGUUCUGGUGGUGGUGGAGACGGUCGCCGGGGUGGCCUGCUUCGCCGGCGACGAGGUCCCGCGGCGGAGGUGCUUCGGGCGCCGGUGGCUCCGGCCGUUUCCGGCUGCAAAACGAGGGGGAAAGAGAGGGGAAAGCAUCAGUGAGGCGAGGGGAGUCCAGUUCGAGAGAGAAUAGGGGCGGAGGAGGCCUGUACCCGCAGAUCGACGGUGACCCGAGGCGGCGGAGCUCGAGCUCGAUCUCGAGCUCGGGCGGUUCUGGAGAGAAGUGGGUGGUUCCGGGGGUGGAUUGGGUGUGUGGAGGAGUGACAGGGAGGAAGAGAGAGGCUCGGGAGCGCCUUAAAUAGGCUGGCCGCGGUUCACCGUGGGCGUGGCCUACGGGCGCCCGCGGGAUCAGCUCUGGAGGCCGUGGGAGAGGAGUAGGAGCUGUCCACGGCGCUUGUGGGGAUGGAGUAGGGCGCCAGGGAGAAGGAGAGAGAGCGGGGGAGGGUUCUGGCGCCCGCGCGUGUGAGGCCGGCCAUUGGCCGAGCCGGGCGGCGUCGGGCACGCGCUGCAGGAGGGGAGAGAGAGGGGGAGACAACGGGGACUGCACGGCGGCGUGUCGCAGACGUCGAGGCACAUCAUCUGGCGCGAUGGGAAGGCACGAGGCGGUCGGGAGGCGCGGUGUCAACGGUCGGCGCUCUGGCAGGCGCUCCAGAGCGCGACUUUGGCCGGCAUCCGCGGUUUUUCCGCGGCGCGCGCGCGUCCUUUUCUGUCUGGAAGCUACAGUGGCAGGGGACAAGGCCAGGGAAGGGCCUGGGAUGCUCUGGGGUGCAGAAGGGAGAGAGAGUGGCUGUGAGAGGGGGAAGAAACUGUUGUCCAGAGAGGACAAACGUGAUUCCCCCCUUCCUCCACAUUGCUUCCUCGGGUAGAAAAGUGUCUAAGUGACAGAGGGGGGUGAGGAGGGGUUGUGGCAAAAAGGUGAACUCAAGGAGAUUAGUGAAAGUGGCAAAAAUAGGCUUUAUAGUAUUUUGCCAGAAGGUGUUUGAUGGAGUUUUGGUUAAGCUAAUGAUUCCCACUGGCCAAGAUACUACAAGGGGUGAAAUGUCACAUAUAUUUAGGGCCUUCCACCCAUUUUGAGCUUAAUAGGACAAAGUUGCCAAUGCAACUCUUGCAAACCCUAGAAAUGGGCAGAAAUGGAUUUGUGUAGAUCCAGUGGAGUAGAUCAUUUCUCCUUGAUGCACCACUUGGUGUGGUGGCCUCAUUUGAUCACAUGAUCAGGCUCACCAAAGUUGGGGUCUUGGAGAAAAAGUUGGUAGUGCAAAGUGAUUCAAACUUGAUUCUGGUCAGAGAGGGUUUUGAGGCACUUUGACCAAGAUUUCCUCUUCUCCAACCUGUGCCAUUUGGUCCAGAUGCAUCAUUAGACCAAUGAAGCAUGUCCACCAAGUUUGAGCACAUUUGGACAUACUUGGCAAUGUAAAGUUGAUCAAACUUUAGAAUGGACAGAAAUAGUUUUGAGGGGUUUUGAUGGUGUUAUCUUGUUCUCCAAGUCAUGAGACUUGGCAAGAUCAUCUAAUAUGUCAUAUGUGACAUGAUAGAAUUUUCCUGGAAUUUUUGGAGGAUAAUUCCUUUGUAAAUAUUUCAAAAGCUUGAAAUAUCCAGAAAGGGUUUUAGAGGGAUUUGACCAAUAUUUGGAACAUGACCAGGUGCCGAAACUCUUAUAUAUGGACAAUAUAUGUCCUAUGAGUUUCCCUAAAUUUUGUCAAAUAUUUUUGAAACAGUAAAGUAAUUUUUUCCUAUUAAAGACCAUUUCUGGCCUUAAGGAAAAGCCUUUAAAUAAAAUAGAACAGUAAUUUUUAAAAUUAUAUUUUUGUGGUUCCUGGGCAUCCUAUAUCUAAUAGGAGUCAAAUAUAUUUUUGGAAAGAUUUUUACUGCCCUUAAUCAAGUACUUGCAGUGCAAACCUCAAUUCAGGGGUUUUUGGAAAACUAAUUUUUGAAAAUACUUUCUGGCCAAAUUAUUUUUGUAAGAAAAUUCUAUAUAGCACUAUUCACAUGGCAUGGUCAUUGGUCAGGAGCUUGGGGUAAGGAGAUGGAAUAAAGAGGGUAGAGUAGUUGACUUCAAGAAGCACUUGAAAAGAAACACAAGAGAGAAAACCAACUCCAAAUAAAAGCCAAAUAAUGCAAAAAGUUUUUGUUGGUCCAAAUUUUCAUGCUUUAUAAAUGAAAAUGAGAUGUUACAAAAUGCAGGGUGUGACAGACCUACCCCCCUUACAAGAAUCUCGUCCCCGAGAUUCCUAAACUAGGCUUUAAAGAGAUACGGAAAUUCGGAUCUAAGGUAGUCUUCACGCUCCCAAGUUGCUUCUGCUUCGGUGUGAUUGCUCCAUUGGACUUUGAAGUACUUGAUGGUGCGGCUUCGAGUGCGUCGUUCAGCCUCAUCCAGAAUGCAGAUGGGCCUCUCACGAUAAGUCAAAUCAGGUUGAAGAUCAAUGGCUUGGUGAUUGACGUGUUUGUAGAGGUCGGGCUUGUCUGGAACUUGGAGACACUUCCGGAGUUGUGACACGUGGAACACGUUGUGCACAUCAGAAAGUUCAGGUGGGAGUUCCAACUGGUAAGCCACUUCUCCUCGUCGCUCAGUGAUCUUGAAGGGGCCCAUGUAUCUCGGAGCGAGCUUUCCUUUGACAUGAAAGCGCUGGGCUCCUUUGAGAGGGGUGACCCGGAGAUAGACAUGGUCUCCAACUCGGAAGUUUAUGUCUCUGCGACGUGAGUCCGCAUAGCUCUUCUGCCUUGACUUGGCAGACUUCAGACGCUCUCGGACAAGCUGGACUUGCUCUUCUGCUUCGCGAAGGAUAUCAGGCCCAAAGACAAGUCCUUCUCCGGUCUCCGACCAGUUGAGAGGUGUAUGGCACUUCCGCCCGUAUAACACUUCAAAUGGUGCCAUCUGAAGGCUGGCCUGAUAACUGUUGUUGUAAGAGAACUCGGCGAAAGGGAGGCAAUCUUCCCACUUAGCUCCAUAAGCUAAGACACAGGCUCGGAGCAUGUCUUCGAGUAUUUGAUUCACUCGCUCGGUCUGACCUCCGGUCUGUGGGUGGAAAGCAGUGCUGAAGGACAACUUGGUCCCCAUGGCCUCCUGGAAUUUCUUCCAAAACCUUGAGGUGAACUGGGUUCCUCGAUCUGACACAAUCUCCUUGGGAACACCAUGAAGGCUCACAAUCCGGUUGAUGUAGAGACUGGCUAACUGGUUCCCCUUGUAGGUUGUCUUGACAGGAAUGAAGUGGGCCACCUUGGUCAAAUGGUCAACUAUGACCCAGAUGGAGUCAUGUCCCUUGUUUGACCUAGGUAGUCCAGUGAUGAAAUCCAUUCCGAUCUUAUCCCAUUUCCACUCGGGAACCUUGAGUGGUUGGAGUAAUCCAGCAGGUCGCUGAUGUUCAGCUUUGACCCUCUGGCAUACGUCACACUUGGCAACAUAGGUGGCAAUCUCCCUUUUCAUCCCGUGCCACCAAAAUCUUUCCUUCAGGUCUUGAUACAUCUUGGUGCCUCCAGGGUGGAUGGAAUAUGGGCUGUCAUGAGCUUCUUGCAAGAUCAGGUUCUUGAGCUCAACCUUGUUGGGCACGCAGAUGCGAUUCCCAAACCACACAAUUCCUUCCUCAUCCUCCGAGAAUCCUGAGGCUUUGCCUGCCUUGAUCUUCCUCUUGAUGCCUUCAAUACUCUCAUGCCCCUUCUGAGCUUUCUUGAUAUCAUCCAUCAAGGUAGGCUUAACUUCGAGGUUGGCCAAGAAUCCUGGUGCAACCAGUUCCAACCCGAAGCUUUCGAGUUCUCCAUACAAGACGGGUAGCUUGUGUUUUAGCAUAGCAUUCAAGGAGCAAGCCUUCCUGCUCAACGCGUCCGCUACCACAUUAGCCUUUCCAGGGUGGUAUUGAACACUGAGGUCAUAAUCCUUUAUCAACUCCAGCCAUCUUCUUUGCCUCAUGUUCAAUUCCCUUUGAGUGAAAAUAUACUUCAGACUUUUGUGAUCCGUGUAUAUCUCACAUCGCUUCCCCAAGAGAUAAUGUCGCCAAGUCUUCAGGGCAUGAACCACUGCUGCUAGCUCAAGGUCAUGAGUAGCAUAGUUCUCUUCGUGCGGUCGUAGUUGCCUUGAAAGGUAGGCCACGACUCUGCCUUCUUGCAUCAGAACACCUCCCAGUCCGAUUCUUGACGCAUCACAAUAUAUCACAAACUCCUUGUGUAUAUCUGGUGUGGCCAGAACUGGAGCGGUGGUUAGCCUCUUCUUCAGCUCCUGGAAGCUCUCUUCGCACUUCGGCGUCCAUUCAAACUUCUUGUCCUUCUUCAAGAGCUGAGUCAUGGGUCGGGCAAUGCUCGAAAACCCUUCAACGAACUUGCGGUAAUAUCCCGCGAGUCCGAGGAAGCUUCUGACUUCCUUCACAUUGCUCGGGGAUUGCCAUUCAGUCACGGCUUCAAUCUUAGCAGGGUCGACUGACAAUCCCUCUUCAGUUAGAACAUGACCCAGAAAUCCAACUUCACGCAGCCAGAAUUCACACUUGCUGAACUUGGCAUACAGUUGGUGCUCUCGAAGCUUGUCUAGGACCAUCCUCAAGUGUUGCUCGUGCUCUUCUACCGACUUCGAGAAGACAAGGAUGUCAUCAAUGAAGACAACGACAAACUUGUCCAAAUAUUCCAUGAAGACCUUAUUCAUGAGAUACAUGAAGUAAGCUGGGGCAUUGGUCAAUCCAAAGGACAUGACCGUGCAUUCAUACAAGCCAUAUCUGGUUACGAAUGCCGUCUUCGGAAUAUCUUGGGGUCUGAUCUUCAGUUGGUAGUACCCAGAUCUGAGGUCGAUCUUGGAGAACACCUUGGCCCCAUUGAGUUGAUCAAACAGAUCUUCAAUCUUGGGAAGUGGGUACUUGUUCUUGAUUGUAACCUCAUUAAGGGAGUGGUAGUCAAUGCAUAAGCGGAUGGUACCGUCCUUCUUUGCCACAAACAGAACAGGUGAUCCCCAAGGGGAGGCACUAGGGCGGAUAAAUCCCUUCCUCAACUGCUCUUCCAGCUGCUUCUUCAAUUCUGCUAACUCCUCCGAUCCCAUCCUAUAAGGCUUCUUAUAGAUGGGUCCUGCUCCGGGUAUGAGCUCGAUGAUGAACUCAAUGUCUCGGUCAGGAGGCAUUCCUGGUAGCUCAUCAGGAAAAACAUCGGGAUACUCGCAUACUACCGGCACUUGAUCCAAUCCAACUUCAGUCAGACAGUUGACUUGGUUGGCUUGAGCAGAAGAGGGGUUGGAGGCAAAUUUGACUUCGACUCCUCGGUCAUUGGUCAUAGUGACCGUCCGGUUGGCGCAAUCAAUCAAGCCUUCGUGCUUGCUGAGCCAAUUCAUUCCCAAGAUCACAUCCAAGAAUUGUGAUUUUAGGAUGAUAAGGUCUGCUAGGAAGUCUACCCCGUUAAUGGUAAUCCCGACUCCUUUACAUCCUAUCUUGGCUCUCAUCUCUGCCCCGGGGGUUUGUACAACCAUAGGGUUAUUCAGGGGUGUAGGGGUCAUGCCACUUUUUAAUGCAAAACUUUGGGUGACAAAAGAAUGCGUGGCUCCAGAAUCAAACAAAACAGUUGCGGGUGCUGAAUUGACAAGGAACGUACCCAGCACGACGUCCGGGUCUUCCUGGGCUUCUUCCGCGGUGACAUGAUUCACACGACCCCUGCCAUUGUUGGGCAGGUUGCGGGGAGCUUGGUUCCUCGGUGGCAUUCCACGGCCUUGUCCUGGGUUCUGCACAUUGGGGCGCGGGGCGUCGGGCUUCUUGUUGGGGCAAUUCUUGGAGUAGUGCCCCGGCUGUCCACAUCCGAAACAAGUGACUUGGUUGGGGACGACGCCCUUGCCAGCAUUGUUAUUGGGGUUGUUGUAAGCUGGCCUGGGGUUGGCAUACUGCUGAGGUGGAUAGUUGGUGCGGGGUGCAGGAGCUCUUGGUUGCUGAUAGGUUGGCUUGACCGGGGCUGGCUGCCACGGACGAGGCUUCUGGUUGCUGGAGCUACCCUUGCUGAUCAUCUUGCGCUUACGAGUGUCAUCCAAGGCACGCCGCUUGUCCUCAAGCAUGAGUGCCUUGUUCACCAGAUCAGGAAAGGUUGGGCAGUCUCGACGAAAGUGGGUGGUGCAUGCUUCUUGAAUUCCACCAGUGUGGAACGUCCAUGGCCGUGCCCCGCCGGCUGGCGGUUGACAGCCUGAGCAAUCAUCUGGAGGGCUGCAGUGUUGGCUUGGCGCUCCUCUCGAAAGGCUUGGAGAAGCUGAGCCAUAUCCAUGCUUGGAGGAGGUGGUGGUGGUGGAGUCUGUCCUUGGGCUUGGUCCUGGCUGGCUCCGGCCUCAGCAGAACCUCCGGCUUCUUGCGGCUGGGUAGAGGUACCAGUACGUGUUACAACAGGCAUCCUGUUGGAGCGGUCAAGGUCUCAUGAUUGGGAACAACAAUGAGGGAAAGCAGUAGAGAUGGAAUGCCUAGUAAGGGGGUGGUGUGACACAAUUUAAGUAAAACAAAGGCCAGAAGGGCCAAACUCAUGCAUUAAACCAAAUGGGGAAUGUAGUCGUUUACAAGUUCCCGAAGGGAAAGUACGACUUCAUCAAAGCAAGUUGAAAGCAAACACAACAUAACAUGGUUUCAUAAGAACCAUUACAAGGACUCGACUUCGCAAAAGGGGUACACGACCUAUCCUACCAUAGGCUACGAGCUAGCCUAUCCUAGUCCUGAACGGAGUCUAAGUGGUGGAAUGCUCGGUCGGGUAUUCUGGCUCCUCUGGGUCUUCCUCCUCGUCUUCAUCUGUCUUGGUCUCCUCAUCGCUUGAGGAAGCGGGGGAGUGAAGGAGCUGAACACGGCGCUGCUUUGCUGGUGGCGUCUUGAAGAGGUUGCGGUACUCCUUUGCCGUCAUACGGCGUGGCUGAGGUGCUCCCUCGGCAGGUGCGACCUGUGGGGGUCGUCCGCCUCGAUAAGCUACUGCGGGCUGUCCAGGGGGUGCUCCAUCCUUCUUGAUCCUGUCCGCCUUCAUCUGAACUAUGCGGAGGAGCUCCUUGGUCUCGCGGAGUUCCUUCCGAAGCUCCGUCGACUCCGAGGCCAGGUGCUGUGCCAGACUGUCGGCACACAAGCUGAAGUAGGUCUGGAAGCGGAGAGAAAGUCCCUUGUCCAAGGGUGGUGCUGGUGCGCUGCUCUCGUCAUCACCUUCCUUACGAUAAGGCAGGUAACGAGUGGCUGGCUCUCUCGCCAUCUCUGGCAGGAGAUCCCGGAGGCGGGUCAGCGCCUUGAGGGCAGCAGUCUCCACGGCGAGAAGCAGCGUCGCCAUCUGGGGUCCCUCAAAGAACCAGCUCGUCGGGGCGUCAUUCGCCCUCACGACUACCUCCACGUGAUACUCCUUCUUGGUGCUGUCGACCCAGUGCUCGUGGUAGGAGAAGGUGGGGACUCGAGUGAACUGGCACUUCCUGAGGCUAUCCUCAAGAAGCAUGGGAAACCCAGUGGUCAGGAAGUCCUCGGGUACGGCGGCCAUCUACAAAAAGUGGAAGGGGAAGGGUCAAUAAAGGAAUGUGACCUGUGUUUGGGAUGCUAACAUAAAACAUAGGUAUAUGGGUAAUCUAGGGGAUAGUCUCGCUCUAUCUAACGUCCAUGCUAACUAAGGCUUCCUACAGUCAGGAUGGCUCUGGUACCAGCUCUGUGGGGACCCCGACUCGCAAGUCGUGAUCACCGAAUGCACGUGUACAGUGAUCCCAGAGAUCAAUGCUCACUGAACACACAGAAGCUGGAUAACAAGAGUCUUACAUCCAUACGUACCGUCUUACACAAAUAGAGACCAACAUGGUCAAGUCUUACAUCGAUAAAGCCUUAAAGGCUGAACAUCAAAUGAAACAUAGCAGCGGAAAACGUCAUCGAUAAGUAGAACCCAUGCCAUCUGCCUUAACCCUACAGGCAUUCUGACUGGGAAACGUCCUAGUUCGCAUGAUCGUCUCCAAAGAACUCUUCUUCGAACUCCGGUUCUUCCAUGCCUGGUCAAUUAAAUAACCAGUGGCAAGCCAAUGAGUACUUUGAAUGUACUCGCAAGCAACCCAUGAUUUGGUUCAAGGUACAGUAAUGCAUGACAUAGGUAAAGUUUUGCAUAAAGCUAGUUUUGAGUGCAGGACAUGUUCAACAUCCUAUAAAGCAUGCAUCAAGAGAAUUCAAGUAACCAUGAGAACUGGUCACAGAUAUCAACAUAAAUAGAAUGGGCACCAACCCAUUUAGCAUAAACAGAGUGGGCACCAACCCAUCUCAAUCGUGUCAAGUCCUUUGACUUGAUCCAAGACAACACCAUCAUCUCACACACACCGGUUUGAAAACAAGUGGACGUAGCCCAAGAGCGGUUACCCAACUGUCCAUGACCGUGGACACGGCUAUUCGAAUAGUUUUACACUCUGCAGAGGUUGCACACUUUACCCACUAGAUCCGGGGAACUUCCGUGUCAAUCCACGACCCGCGGUACCUCAAGUACCCGGGGUAAGCACCCGAUCACUACCUUUCCCUAGACGACACUAACAUGGAGUCCACUCGAUUGGCAGUAACCCCCGUGCCCAACAUCUCACAUAACAAUUUCGUGGAGCCUUGCUCCCAUAUCCAUCACAUACCACUGGCACGGGGUACCAACGGUGUGUCCGGUGCCCCAUAAAGAUGGUCAUGGCCGCCCUACCUGGCACGACCCCGUCCCAAGAGAGAGCACCAACUCUCCCCCGUCACUAGUAAUGCGGGCUCCAAGCUAGUAUCCGACUAGGUACUCAAUAAUGCCCCUUUCCCAUAUAAGGGUAGAGUGGUCGCGCAUGUAAGGUUGGAAUAACGGUCGCAACUCCGACCAAUCCGUUUUGAAAACAACACACACCUUCCUUGGCACACCACUUCGUCAUCAAGUGGUCACCCAUCUCUUCAUCUCCCUCGGGCAUAAGUGGCACCCGACGGGGUUUUCGAAAAUACUUUUGAAAUCACUUUGCCUUCUUCACCAUGCACAAACCCAUCCCGUUUGCGUAGCAUCUACAUUUGCAUCCUAUCUACUCCCACCGGCAUAACCCUCAUAAGAAGGUAGGGCCAUGCACAAUGCAAGUAUCAACGAGGAAUGUAAUCGUGGCAACCACCCACGUGGUUCACCAUCUCGUCAUGAUUCCGAUGCAUCAUCAAUAAAGAGCUAAAAAUGACAUGCAUAUAAAGGGGUAUCAUAGUCAUGGUCAAAGGGUGCUUGCCUUGGUUGGCUUGAUCUUCAAAGUCUUCAGGCCCUGCUCCUCCUUCUUCCUCAGCUACCUCGUCAAACACGGGAUCUAACGUCGCAAGAAAACAACGGGAAAAUAAGACAAUAAUAAAAACAGAAAAAUCAAAGUGCUCACAAAAAUGUCAACUUAUUUUUGUAAAAUACUAGAAGGAAAUCUAGGAAGGGGGCAACUUUUGGUUUUGGUUCUGGAGCAGCAAAAUAGGAGUUGUGGAUUUUCAAAGGCUUAUUUAAAUGCCAAAAACCACAUUUAAAUAUUUACAGAGAAGAAAAGGUGAUUGGAUUUGAGUGAAAGUUGCACCAUUAAAUACGUUACAAUAUUCUAGGAAUUUAGAAAUUGGAAUCAAUGUAUUUGGAUUAAUAUUCUGCCCUGUGGAAUAUUUGGAAAUAAUACAGAAAAGGAAAAAGAAUAACGGCGCUGUGCUACUGGGCCAGAGAGGCCACAGCAGCAGCAGGCCCAGGGGGAAAACCCAGCCCACGCGGCCGCCACGUCGAAGGCGUAAAGGCUGAAUACGCCUUCAGCCGACGGCGGGUCGGUGCGCGCGCGCGCGCACGUUUUAAACCUGACGGGUGGAGCCCACCCGUCAGGGCGUGAGGCUGACUGGCCGGCCCCACGGCGGCCGUCGUCUACCUCCGGCCAGAGGCGACGACGAGCUCGCCGGCGGCGAUACAGGGCACGAGAAGGGGCGCGGAGGCUACCGUUGGACUCAGGAGCGAGUCGCGGUUCUGGUGGUGGUGGAGACGGUCGCCGGGGUGGCCUGCUUCGCCGACGACGAGGUCCCGCGGCAGAGGUGCUUCGGGCGCCGGUGGCUCCGGCCGUUUCCGGCUGCAAAACGAGGGGGAAAGAGAGGGGAAAGCAUCAGUGAGGCGAGGGGAGUCCAGUUCAAGAGAGAAUAGGGGCGGAGGAGGCCUGUACCCGCAGAUCGACGGUGACCCGAGGCGGCGGAGCUCGAGCUCGAUCUCGAGCUCGGGCGGUUCUGGAGAGAAGUGGGUGGUUCCGGGGGUGGAUUGGGUGUGUGGAGGAGCGACAGGGAGGAAGAGAGAGGCUCGGGAGCGCCUUAAAUAGGCUGGCCGCGGUUCACCGUGGGCGUGGCCUACGGGCGCCCGCGGGAUCAGCUCUGGAGGCCGUGGGAGAGGAGUAGGAGCUGUCCAUGGCGCUUGUGGGGAUGGAGUAGGGCGCCAGGGAGAAGGAGAGAGAGCGGGGGAGGGUUCUGGCGCCCGCGCGUGUGAGGCCGGCCAUUGGCCGAGCCGGGCGGCGUCGGGCACGCGCUGCAGGAGGGGAGAGAGAGGGGGAGACAACGGGGACUGCACGGCGGCGUGUCGCAGACGUCGAGGCACAUCAUCUGGCGCGAUGGGAAGGCACGAGGCGGUCGGGAGGCGCGGUGUCAACGGUCGGCGCUCUGGCAGGCGCUCCAGAGCGCGACUUUGGCCGGCAUCCGCGGUUUUUCCGCGGCGCGCGCGCGUCCUUUUCUGUCUGGAAGCUACAGUGGCAGGGGACAAGGCCAGGGAAGGGCCUGGGAUGCUCUGGGGUGCAGAAGGGAGAGAGAGUGGCUGUGAGAGGGGGAAGAAACUGUUGUCCAGAGAGGACAAACGUGAUUCCCCCCUUCCUCCACAUUGCUUCCUCGGGUAGAAAAGUGUCUAAGUGACAGAGGGGGGUGAGGAGGGGUUGUGGCAAAAAGGUGAACUCAAGGAGAUUAGUGAAAGUGGCAAAAAUAGGCUUUAUAGUAUUUUGCCAGAAGGUGUUUGAUGGAGUUUUGGUUAAGCUAAUGAUUCCCACUGGCCAAGAUACUCCAAGGGGUGAAAUGUCACAUAUAUUUAGGGCCUUCCACCCAUUUUGAGCUUAAUAGGACAAAGUUGCCAAUGCAACUCUUGCAAACCCUAGAAAUGGGCAGAAAUGGAUUUGUGUAGAUCCAGUGGAGUAGAUCAUUUCUCCUUGAUGCACCACUUGGUGUGGUGGCCUCAUUUGAUCACAUGAUCAGGCUCACCAAAGUUGGGGUCUUGGAGAAAAAGUUGGUAGUGCAAAGUGAUUCAAACUUGAUUCUGGUCAGAGAGGGUUUUGAGGCACUUUGACCAAGAUUUCCUCUUCUCCAACCUGUGCCAUUUGGUCCAGAUGCAUCAUUAGACCAAUGAAGCAUGUCCACCAAGUUUGAGCACAUUUGGACAUACUUGGCAAUGUAAAGUUGAUCAAACUUUAGAAUGGACAGAAAUAGUUUUGAGGGGUUUUGAUGGUGUUAUCUUGUUCUCCAAGUCAUGAGACUUGGCAAGAUCAUCUAAUAUGUCAUAUGUGACAUGAUAGAAUUUUCCUGGAAUUUUUGGAGGAUAAUUCCUUUGUAAAUAUUUCAAAAGCUUGAAAUAUCCAGAAAGGGUUUUAGAGGGAUUUGACCAAUAUUUGGAACAUGACCAGGUGCUGAAACUCUUAUAUAUGGACAAUAUAUGUCCUAUGAGUUUCCCUAAAUUUUGUCAAAUAUUUUUGAAACAGUAAAGUAAUUUUUUCCUAUUAAAGACCAUUUCUGGCCUUAAGGAAAAGCCUUUAAAUAAAAUAGAACAGUAAUUUUUAAAAUUAUAUUUUUGUGGUUCCUGGGCAUCCUAUAUCUAAUAGGAGUCAAAUAUAUUUUUGGAAAGAUUUUUACUGCCCUUAAUCAAGUACUUGCAGUGCAAACCUCAAUUCAGGGGUUUUUGGAAAACUAAUUUUUGAAAAUACUUUCUGGCCAAAUUAUUUUUGUAAGAAAAUUCUAUAUAGCACUAUUCACAUGGCAUGGUCAUUGGUCAGGAGCUUGGGGUAAGGAGAUGGAAUAAAGAGGGUAGAGUAGUUGACUUCAAGAAGCACUUGAAAAGAAACACAAGAGAGAAAACCAACUCCAAAUAAAAGCCAAAUAAUGCAAAAAGUUUUUGUUGGUCCAAAUUUUCAUGCUUUAUAAAUGAAAAUGAGAUGUUACAAAAUGCAGGGUGUGACACUAAGGUACCCCCCUACUUUAGUACACCGACACCUAUGAAUCUUCAUAUUCCUCUGAUGAGUCAUUUGACUCCAACUAUAAACUGUUCAAGAAUCAGAAUGGUGAAGUAUUUGCUCGAUAUGCUGGAACUAACUACAGGAACGGUCCCCCUAUGAAGAAAAUAGGGGUUCCCAAAAGGUGCCUUGAAAAUCUUCAGGUGAAUGUCAUCAUGACACCACCUAUGAAGAAUAGGAACCCUAGAUCAAAUUCUUCAUAUGGAUCAAGAUCUUCAUAUGGAUCCAAGUCCUCUUAUGGACCAUAUUCUUCAUCUGGAUCAAAUUCCUCACGUGGAUCAAAAUCCUCAUAUGAACAUCAUCGUGCUAACACUUCUGUUUCACAGGGAAAGCCUAAAGGCUAUGAAUAUGUGCAUUAUUCUUCAAAUCAUUACGUUCAUAAGUCCUCGAAGAAUUUCUCUGCUUAUGCUUAUCCUAACCCCUCUUUUGUGAAACGAAGUGCACUAGCUUCUAUGCCAUCUUUUUCUUUUGGAGCUCGCAGAAUGAUGAACUCUUUGCCACCCCUCCAGAUGUGGGUGGUGAAUAAAAAUAACUAAUCUCUUAUGCAGGGUUAGGUCUCCGGACGAACUUAAUCAUCUGAAGAAUUUGCUGGAGACCUGAAUAUGCUUGAAUGGACGCAAGCUAAUCAUGAAGAAAUGAAUUACUCAUUUUUCACGUCCAUAUACUGCUAUAUCUAUUGUGUUGAUGAAAUUGAUAUCAUAUUCUUCACUGAUGAAGUAUAUGGGUCUGUAAGUUGUACUAAUUCAUCUACAGGAUGGACAACCCAGAGCUACCGAGUGGGUCCUCGACAGUGGAUGUACAAAUCACAUGACCAGUGACAGGAACUUAUUGAUGGACACUGCUUUAUCUCCAACUCAUCUGAAGCAUAUCACCUACGCUGACAAAGGCAAAAGCAAGGUAUUGGGUCUAGGUAGGGUUGCAAUCUCAAAGGAUAGACACAUGGACAAAGUCGUUCUUGUCAAGUCCUUAGGAUUCAAUCUCACGUCUGUCUCAAUGCUUUGUGAUCUUGAUAUGGUUGUCGUCUUUGGAAAAUAUCAUUGCAUUGUACUAAUGGAAUCUGACAAUUCCGAAGUCUUCGAAGGCUUUAGGAGAGGAGACUUGUAUAUUGUUGAUUUCUCUACAGGACCACAGCCUGCCAUGUGUCUACUUGCAAAAGCUUCAGAAGGCUGGUUAUGUCAUUGACGACUUGGUCAUGCUGGGAUGAGGAACUUGCAUACACUCGCCAAGAAGAAGCAUGUCAUUGGCAUUGAGGGUGACACAUUCCUCAAAGAUUAUCUUUGUGGGGCUUGUGAGGCUGGAAAGAUAACCAGAGCCAAGCAUCCCUCAAAGUCUAUCAUGACCACUUCUCGUCCCUUUGAAUUACUUCACAUGGAUCUCUUUGGCCCUAUGCAUUAUGCCACGUUCACUAAUUAUGCAUCAUUAUAUGGCUUUAUCAUUGUUGAUGAUUAUUCUUGUUACACCUGGGUGCAUAUCAUCACUUACAAAAAUGAAGUGCAGGAAGUCUUAAAACGAUUUUCCUCAAGAGCAUCUACGAACUUCGGUGUGAAGAUCAAGCAUAUCAGGAGUGAUAAUGACACCGAGUUCAAGAAUACUAGUCUCGAUGAAUAUCUUGAUAUACUUGGUAUUACUCACGAGUUAUCUGCUCCCUAUACUUGAACUCAUGAGAUGGCUCGCACUAUGCUAGAUUAGAGAUCCUCGUGGAGCGCAAGAACUCAUGAGACGGCAUCGUGGAGCGCAAGAACAUGACUCUUGUUGAGAUGGCUCGCACUAUGCUUGAUGAAUAGAAGACUCCACAGUGUUUCUGGCCAGAUGCUAUUGCUACUGCAUGCCACAUCAUCAACAGGGUAUAUCUUCACAAAUUCUUCAAAAAUACCUCAUGUGAACUUCUCACUGACAAGAAACCCAAUGUAAGUUAUUUCAAAGUCUUCGGUGCUAAAUGCUGGAUUAGAGAUCCUCACCACCACUCUAAAUUUGCACCGAAAGCACAUGAGGGUUUUAUGCUUGGUUACAGAAAGGACUCGCAGACCUACAGAGUCUUCAACACCUAUCAUCACAAGGUUGUUGAAACUGUAGAUGUGUGGUUGGAUGAGACUAAUGGCUCGAAAAGAGAGCACCUACCUCCUGUGCUAGAUGAAAUGUCACCCGAGGAAUCCAUCAAGUUCAAGGCUACUGAGGAUGUCAUCCCUACUGAAGAAUCUGCUGAAGAAGUCAUUCCGGAUCGUGAAGAAAAUCACGCUGGUGCUACUGAAGAAAAUGGCCCCAAAGAAAUUGCUGGGCCAAAUCAAAGUCGUCAACCUACUCAUCCUUGCGUUGCAAAUAAAGUGCAGAUUGAGCGAAUCAUCAACGACAUCAAUGCACCAGGUCCUCUCACAUGCUCAAAAGCUUCACAUUUGUCUAACUUUUGUGGGCAUUUUGCGUUUGUCUCUAUCACAGAGCCCACCAAAGUUGAUGAAGCAUUCAUGGAGUCUGAAUGGAUUCAAGCUAUGCAAGAUGAAUUGCAUCAAUUCGAGCUCAACAAUGUGUGGGAGCUUGUCAAGCGACCAGACCCACGCAAGCACAAUAUCAUCGACACAAAAUGGAUCUACCACAACAAGCAAGAUGAAAAUGGCCUUGUGGUAAGGAAUAAGGCUCGUCUUAUAGCUCAAGGCUACACACAGGUUGAAGGAAUUGAUUUUGAUGAAACUUUUGCACCUAUUGCUAGACUUGAGGCUAUUUGCAUAUUGCUUGCUUAUGCUAACCAUCAUAAUAUCAUAUUACAUCAAAUGGAUGUGAAAAGUGUAUUCCUUAAUGGUAAGCUUGAGGAAGAAGUAUAUGUUGCUCAACCACCAGGUUUCGAGGAUCCAAAAUUUCUAGAUCACGUCUAUAGACUCAACAAGGCCCUCUAUGGCCUCAAACAAGCACCUCGGGAGUGGUAUGAUACAUUGAAGGAAUUCCUCAUGAAGAAAGGCUGCAAACCCGGUUCACUUGACCCAACUCUUUUCACCAAAGCAUAUGAUGAUGAAUUAUUCAUGUGCCAAAUAUAUGUUGAUGAUAUUAUCUUUGGCUGUAUUAACCAAUGUUACAGUGAUGAAUUUGCCUAUAUGAUGAGUGAGGAAUAUCAAAUGUCCAUGAUGGGAGAGUUGAAAUUCUUCUUAGGGCUUCAAAUUCUUCAACAACACAAUGGCAUAUUCAUAUCCCAGGAGAAAUACCUCAAGGAUGUGUUGAGGAAAUUCGGCAUGCAAGAUUGCAAAGGCAUCAAAAUCCUAUGCCCACAAAUGGCCAUCUAUGCAUCGAUGAAAAUGGUAAAGACUUCGAUCAAAAGGUAUACCGCUCCAUGAUUGGCUCUUUAUUGUGUCUAUGUGCAUCUACGCUGGAUAUUAUGCUUAGUGUUUGCAUGUGUGCCCGAUUUUAAGCUACACCGAACGAAUCACACCAUAAGGUUGUGAAGCAUAUUCUUCGAUAUAUAGCUCACACUCCAACACUUGGAUUAUGGUAUCCCAAGGGCUCUUCCUUUGAUCUCAUUGGAUAUUCUGACUCUAACUAUGCUGGUGAUCGGGUGAAUUGCAAGUCAACAUCAGGCACAUGUCAUUUCCUCGGACGAUCCUUGGUAUGUUGGUCCUCGAAGAAGCAGAACUGCGUAUCACUCUCUACUGCUGAAGCUGAGUACAUUGCUGGUUCUUGCUGUGCUCAAUUGCUAUGGAUGAAGCAAACCCUCAAGGACUAUGGUAUCAAUGUGAAGAAUGUGCCACUCUACUGCGACAAUGAGAGUGCUAUCAAGAUUGCUCACAACCCAGUUCAGCACUCGAAGACAAAGGACAUCCAGAUUCAUCAUCAUUUUCUUCGUGACCAUGUGUUGAAGGGCGACAUCUCCAUCGACCACGCGAAUACUGAAGAUUAGCUAGCCGAUAUCUUCACAAAGCCCUUGGAUGAGAAGAGAUUUAGCAAGUUGCGGUGUGAGCUAAAUAUCUUAGAAUCUUCGACUGUUCUUUGAAAAGGACACACAUCCUAACACUUAUGCAAAUAUGAUAACUUAGAUGUGCAACACAUGAAGUAACAUUUUUCUUCAAUCAAUGAAGACUAACCAUAUAAGUGUGAAGAAAUUAAUGAAGAAAUUGAUUCUCAGAACCCUAUGACAAUUGUAUGUGGUGUCCGAAAUCAUCAUUCUUAUACGGCGGGUUACGCCACCAACCAAAGUUGAAAAUCUUCAAUUUGAGUUUUUACAAUUUCUUCAGAUUCUCAAAUUCUUCAACUUUGCAAUUUCUUCAGUCUUCUCGUCCUUGUUCUUUAUUGCUAUAUAUAUUGUGAGUUUUUCAUGUCCUCUACAACAUUCACUUAUAGCUAAGUCUUCAAGUUGUUUUUUCAUCUAAGUGAAUGUGAUCGGACCUGUUCCUCCUCUAUGCUAAACUCAACCCAGUCUAUUCACAAAUUCUUCAUGUGCGUUCUAUUUGAAACCUGUUCAAAAUCUUCACUGUGUCCUUGACAGCUGAAGAAUUUGCGAACGAAACGUUAAAAUUUUCAUAUCUAAUUUUUUAGCUUUUGCCGCUCAAAUCCUUCCGCAUCCUAUGAUAGGAUUAAACAAAUCACCCACUAUCUCACAGAUCUCCACCUCUCAGUACGUGGGUGACACAUGUCGCUAGGAUAGCAAGGGUCAGGGGCACGUUCGUCCAAAUUCUUUGGGCGAACGGUUUUUCACUUUGUUAUAAAUACCCCUCCCCUUUCACCUCAGCUCAUUUACUCCGCUCGACCUCUCUCUCCUCCGCUCGAGCUCUCUGACAUAGCGCCGCCGCUAAUCUCCAUCGUCGCCGAUGAGGAAGAGCUUAGCUGCCUCGACCUCGUUGCCGUCGUACUCGCACCGGCUGCAGAAAUUUUCACCUCCACCGCCGCAGUAGCUGUCUUCACCCGCCAAGUUAGGGCAUGGAAGAUCUGAACGGACGAACUUCCACAGUUCAUCUCACAGUUCAUCGCAUUCUUCAUCAAGGGUAAAUAAAACUCUCUUUUACUACCCUUGUUGAUUCUGAUGAUUUACACAAAAUCUUGAAAAGGUGUUUAUUCUUCGACCGUCAUAUUCUUAAACACCACAGUUGCAUCUGUUCUUGAUCUAUCUCUCUAAGAUGUACUUUUCUUCAAGAUUCCUCAAUUGUGUGGAUUUCCAAUCGAUACAACUCUGGAACCUAAGACAAGAACUCUUAGCAAAAUUCCUCAAGACUCCCCUGGUCAAAUUCCUCAAACUCGAUUCCUUAAAAAACAAAUUCCAAGAAUGCAUAUGACCUCUUCAAAUUCUUCGCACCUAUACAAAUUUCGAGUCUGCUACUGAAUCACUAGGUUGUCAUCAACUUAACUCAUUUGCAGCAUUCCUCGAAGAAAAACUGCAUACUUCUUCAGAGACAUCCAUUGUUCAGAAUCCUAGCUGAAGAAUAUUGCUGAAGAAAUGUCUCCUCAGAAGGGAGGCAAGAGGCCUGAAACUAACACUGCUUUUGAGAUCCCUGAAGAUAUUUAUGCAGAAUAUUGUGCUCCUGAUGAGGCCACUCAUGGCAAGGAGAAUAAAAAUCAGCGCAAGUUGCGCAUUCAGCGGAUUGAACGUAGAUGGGCACGGGAAUGGAGGGAAUACCGCUAUGUCACUCCUAAGUGCAUGAAUAAAUUCGCAGUAAAUCCUCCAUGCCCAAGACCUCCAUUGGCACCAGGCCAAGAAGCUGGUCCCUCUAGCAUCAGAAGAGGUGAGGAAUUCCCAAAGGAAUGGGCCAAGAGCCAAAGAAAAUUGGCUAAGGUAGCAAAAGAGGCAGUGAAAAAUUCAAUGAAGAUUCUGCUGCCACUGCUGAAGCCUCUGCAAGUCAGCACAAGAAGGCUAUGAAGAAGAAAUCAGAUGUGAAGCCAUCUUCUUCUGCUAUGCCCUCACGACUUAGCUCCUCAAAGACCUCAGGUCCAUCUGCUCAAGAAAAUCCCUCAGCUGCACCUACAAAGUCCUCAGCACCAAUGCAUCUUGCCACGUGCCAAAGGACUACAGUCUUUUCAAUUGCUUCAGGAGCUUCAGCAAGUUCCUCAGCUCAGCCUCAGCUGCUAAAGAAAAAGGUCACUGCUGGACGCGGCACAAGGCCAAGUCCUCACAAGAAGGUCGCCUUUGAAGUUCCAUCGUCUAAGAUGAAGCUGAUGAUGAGGAACUUGCAGUAAUCAUCAGAGACCGACAACACUGGCCCGCUAGUGCCAAAGGCAGUGCUGUGCCGCUCUUGCUGGAUCCAAAGAAGAUCCUUGAUUACAUCAAUCUUUGGCAUAAAGAUCCCAACACACCUCUUCCUGAUCUAAACCUCACACCAAGACAAAGUCACAUGUUGGCUGCUUUCAUUGCUAAAGAAAAGUGGAAAUUUGAGAAGGCCAUAUUAGUGAAGAAAGGUCAGUACAAAAAGGAGCAUUAUCUGAAGAAAAAUAUCCUGAAAAUGACAACUGAAGAACUUCUGACUAUUUAGUCUGAAAUCAAAGCUCUCAGUGAUGAAUUUGACGUGUAUAAAGCUGAUUGGCUAGGUGCCAAAGUCAGAUUCGUCAAGCUAGCAAAAGGCCUCAAGCCCAAUGUUGCUGCUGAAGCGCAACAAGAAAUUCCUUGGGGUGAAGCAUUUGCUCAGCCCACUGAAGAUCAUGCCAGCACCGCUGAUGAAAAUCAGGAUGCUGAAGAAACUAAGAGCACCAGGACUGAUGAUGCUAUUCCAGCUCCUGAUGAAACUGCCAGGGCAACCACCAAUGUUGCGCCUUAAGAUCAACCCAGGCCAGCUAAAGAAUCUGAACCCGCCAGGGCAACUAAAACAGUUGUGCCUGAAGAAACUGUGCCUCUUUCAUAUGCUCCCCCUACAAAGUGUUCAUAGAUGAAAAGCACUCUCCUUCCUUCUGCAUCAGAAGCGAAGAAAACCAAGGCUGCCAAAAGGGCAGCUGCGAAGAAGAGGAAAGCAUCAGAUGCCUCAGAGUCUUUAGCUCCGAAGAAAGUGAAGACUUUGACGAGCUCUUUCGGGAAUCCAAUUGAUGCUGUUCCGCUGACCGUCAUGCCAUCAAAGGAAAUUGUUCCUUUUGGAGAAGAAUAUGUCAUCGCUGAUGAAACUAAUGAAGAAAAUCCAUCUGUUGCUAUGUCAGAGCAGUUGGAUGAUGAAAUUGAAGUGGAUGCUAUCCCUUCACCUAUACAGGUAUCAUUGCUGCUGCCUCAGUUCACUGCUGAAGAGGCCGGUGUUGAAGAAGUUGAAGCUGAAGAAGAGGAUGUGGACAUCGGGUCUAUGACUCCAGUGAUGAAUGACGUUUAUUCGGAAAGUCAUCAUCCCAAUUCUCCUCUGUCCACUCCUCUGCAGCAAAUUCCUCAGUCCCCCGUGCAAACUAAAGUAAUUCACUCGGGUUCUGAUCAAGGUCAAGCUUCACUUCACUCCAUCCCUGAAGAAGUUCUAGCCACUAGUGCUGAUGAAAUUGAAAAGAAGGCAACAGAAGAAAAUGCUCCUGAGAUUCCUUAGCCUAAGGCUUCAGAGGUUGUGCUUCAAGAGGCUGUGAAGACUCCCACUGCAAAUCUUCAGCCCAAGCCACAGAAUCCUCACUCUAAGAAGCAGAAGUUCAAGGCUGAUGACUUCUUUGCCGAGCAUCAUUUCUUCUCAGAUUUUAAUCCACAUGACUCUGCUCACCUUCGCCGCAAGCGCUUCUAGACUGCUUCUCAAAUGAACUUCUAUUCCUCGCUGCGGUUUGACAAGGAUAAAGUGUUUGACCAUAAGCUUCCUCAUGUGGAUAUGGAGUCCCUGACGCGUUUUACCCCAAUCCUCAGUGUUCUUCAUGACAUUGGUUUGCUCAACUUCUGCAUCGACCUCUGUGACUGGAAUGAAGAGAUAAUUCUUCAGUUCUAUGCCACUUUGCAUCUGACAGGAAAUGUUGACGAUGUGAAUUCAUGGGUUCUGGACUGGAUGACAGAAAACGCUCAUCACAAAGCUUCGGCCUCUGAAUUGCUUCAUGCCGUCCCAGUCAGUCCACCCACUGAAGGAGCUCUGAAACUAUAUGAAGAACCUGAAUUGCAAAAUCAUCUGAUGCAAGUGCUGAUGAAGCCUUUGAAGGCUGGCCAAGCUCCAAGGACAAAUUUUCUCGUCAAGGAUUUGUUGUAUGUGCCUGAUACGUCUCCAACGUAUCUAUAAUUUUUGAUUGCUCCAUGCUACUUUAUCUACUGUUUUGGACUAUAUUGGGCUUUAUUUUCCACUUUUAUAUUAUUUUUGGGACUAGCCUAUUAACCAGAGGCCCAGCCCAGAAUUGUUGUUUUUUGCCUAUUUUAGUAUUUCGAAGAAACGGAAUAUCAAACGGAGUCCAAACGGAAUGAAACCUUCGGGAACGUGAUUUUCUCACCGAACGUGAUCCAGGAGACUUGGACCCUACUCCAAGAAGCUUCCGAGGAGGUCACGAGGGUGGAGGGCGCGCCCCCUGCCUCGUGGGCCCCUCGGAGCUCCACCGACAUACUCCUUCCUCCUAUAUAUACCUACGUAUCCCCGUAUGAUCAGAACAUGAGCCAAAAACCUAAUUCCACCGUCGCAACCUUCUGUAUCCACGAGAUCCCAUCUUGGGGCCUGUUCCGGAGCUCCGCCGGAGGGGGCAUCCACCACGGAGGGCUUCUACAUCAACACCAUAGCCCCUCCGAUGAAGUGUGAGUAGUUUACCUCAGACCUUCGGGUCCAUAGCUAGUAGCUAGAUGGCUUCUUCUCUCUUUUUGGAUCUCAAUACAAUGUUCUCCCCCUCUCUUGUGGAGAUCUAUUCGAUGUAAUCUUCUUUUUGCUGUGUGUUUGUUGAGACCGAUGAAUUGUGGGUUUAUGAUCCAACUUAUCUAUGGAAAAUAUUUGAUUCUUCUCUGAAUUCUUUUAUGUAUGAUUGAGUUAUCUUUGCAAGUCCCUUCGAAUUAUCUGUUUGGUUUGGCCAACUAGAUUGGUAGUUCUUGCAAUGGGAGAAGUGCAUGGCUUUGGGUUCAAUCUUGCGGUGUCCUUACUCAGUGACAGAAAGAGUUGCAAGGCACGUAUUGUAUUGUUGCCAUCGAGGAUAACAAGAUGGGGUAUUUAGCAUAUUGCAUGAAUUUAUUCCUCUACAUCAUGUCAUCUUGCUUAAGGCGUCACUUUGUUUUUAACUUAAUACUCUAGAUGCAUGCUGGAUAGCGGUCGAUGAGUGGAGUAAGAGUAGUAGAUGCAGAAUCGGUUCGAUCUACUUGUCACGGACGUGAUGCCUAUAUACAUGAUCAUUGCCUAGAUAUACUCAUAACUAUGCUCAAUUCUGUCAAUUGCUCAACAGUAAUUUGUUCACCCACCGUAGAAUACUUAUGCUCUUGAGAGAAGCCACUAGUGAAACCUAUGGCCCCCGGGUCUAUUCUCAUCAUAUCAAUCUCCAUCACUUUAUUUACUUGCUUUGUUUUUACUUUGCCUUUACUUUUUACUUUGCAUCUAUCUAUCAAAAAUACCAAAAAUAUUAUCUCUAUCAGAUCUCACUCUCGUAAGUAAUCGUGAAGGGAUUCACAACCCCUAAGCGUUUGUUGCGAGUUGCUAUCGUGUUGUGCAGGUACGAGGGACUUGCGCGUGACCUCCUACUGGAUUGAUGCCUUGGUUCCCAAAAACUGAGAGAAAUACUUACGCUACUGUGUUGCAUCAUCCUCUCCUCUUCGGGGAAAACCAACGCAAGCUCGAGAUGUAGCAAGAAGGAUUCCUGGCGCUGUUGCCAGGGAGGCUUACGCAAAAGUCAACAUACCAAGUACCCAUCACAAUCCCUAUCUCUCGCAUUACAUUAUUUGCCAUUUGCCUCUCGUUUUCCUCUCCCCCACUUCACCCUUGCCGUUUUAUUCGCCCUUCUUCCGUUCGAUCUUAUGUUUGCUUGUGCCUUCUUUUUGCUUGCAUCUUUGCUUGCUAAAAGUCUAUGGAUCCUGAUCCGCUUGCCAAUCUUUUUAAGAGAUCACAUUAUGAUGAACCAAUUCCUAGUGAUUUGGAUGCACUAGAUUAUCUUUAUAAGCUUUUUCCUAAAACCCGUAGAUCUGAAAAUUGUGAUGAAGUGCUUCAUGAUAGAUCUUUAAAUAAAAAGCAUGAUUGGAAUGAUUUUAUGAUAAAAUCUUUUAAUGUAAAUUAUGCUAAUAAUAUGCAAAACCCUAAGCUUGGGGAUGCUAGUUUUGCUAUGACUACUACUUGUUGCAAUGAUCAUGAUUGGGGUGAUUCUUCUUUUGAUCUUGAAAAUUUAUUUAACCCCCAUGAUGAAUAUGAGAUUGAUAAUAGCGUUUGCAAUACUAUUGAAAGUGGGUUUGGAAGAGUGUCAACUUUAGAUCCCACAUAUUUGGAGAAUGUUCAAUCUUAUGGUAUUUUUGAUAAAAGUGGGUUUGGAGAGGUCAUGACUUUAGUUAAUGUUAAUCCCACUAUCCUGGAAGAGUGUCAACUUUGCAUGCAUGUGGAUCAUGUUGAGAAUAUGUUAUGUGACAGCUAUUUUGUUGAAUUUGCUUAUGAUCCUACAUGUAAUUAUUAUGAUAGAGGAAAAUAUGGUUGUAGAAAUUUUCAUGUUACUAAAUUACCUCUCGUCAUGUUGAGAUUGCUAUCGUCUCUUUCUUAUUCCUUGCAUAUGUUAGUUUUUGUUUGCCUUGCAAAUUUGUUUGCUUAUAAUAUGCCUAUGCAUAGGAAGUAUGUUAGACUUAGAUGUGUUUGUCACGUGUUUCAUGAUGCUCUCUUUGCGAUUCAAUUCUUGUCUUUCUUGUGAGCAUCAUUAAAAUUAUCAGUGGCUAGCUAGGGGCGUUAAACGAUAGCGCUUGUUGGGAGGCAACCCAAUUUUAUUUUGUGUUUUUUGUUUUUGGUUCUGUUUAGGAAUAAAUAAUCCAUCUACCUUCUGUUUGGAUGUGGUUUUAUGUUUUAAUUAGUGUUUGUGCCAAGUAAGACCUAUAGGAUAACCUACGAUGAUAGUUGAUUUGAUUCUGCUGAAAAACAGAAACUUUGCGCACACGAAGUUAGUUAUGAUAAAUCACAGGAACGUUCUGUUGAGUUGAUUCUUUUUGCUACUGAUAAAUAAACAAAUUGUCCAGGACUUACUAUUUUGGUAGAGUUUUUAGAGUUCCAGAAGUUUGCGUUAGUUACAGAUUACUACAGACUGUUCUGUUUUUGACAGAUUCUGUUUUUCGUGUGUUGUUUGCUUAUUUUGAUGAAUCUAUGGCUAGUAAAUUAGUUUAUAAACCAUAGAGAAGUUGGAAUAAAGUAGGUUUAACACCAAUAUAAAUAAAUAAUUAGUUCAUUACAGUACCUUGAAGUAGUCUUUUGUUUUCUUUCUCUAACGGAGCUCACGAGAUUUCUGUUGAGUUUUGUGUUGUGAAGUUUUCAAGUUUUGGGUGAAUUCUUUUGAUGGAUUAUGGAACAAGGAGUGGCAAGAGCCUAAGCUUGGGGAUGACCAUGGCACUCCCAAGAUAAUCCAAGGACACCAAAAAGUCAAAGCUUGGGGAUGCCCCGGAAGGCAUCCCCUCUUUCGUCCACUCCCAUCGGUAAUUUACUUGGAGCUAUAUUUUUAUUCACCAACAUGAUAUGUGUUUUGCUUGGAGCGUCUUGUAUUAUUUGUCUUUGCUUGUUAGUUUACCACAAUCAUCCUUGCUGUACACACCUUUUGAGAGAGCCAUACAUGAUUUGGAAUUUGUUAGAAUACUCUAUGUGCUUCACUUAUACCUUUUGAGCUUGAUAGCUUUGCUCUAUGUGCUUCACUUAUAUCUUUAGAGCGUGAUAAUUUUUGCUCUAGUGCUUCACUUAGAUCUUUUAGAGCAAGGUGGUGGAUUUGUUUUAAAGAAACUUGAUCUCUCAUUCUUCACUUAGAUUAUUUUGAGAGUCUUUAAUACCAUGGUAAUUUGCUUAAUGUUAAUAUACUUGGUAUUCAAGAUAUGUGAAACUUUCUUUUGAGUGCAUUGAAUACUAAGAUAAGUUUGAUGCUUGAUAAUUGUUUUGAGAUAUGGAGGUGAUAAUAUCAAAGUCGUGCUAGUUGGGUGAUUAUGAAUUUGAGAAAUACUUGUGUUGAAGUUAGCAAAUCCCGUAGCAUGCAUGUAUGGUUAAAGUUGUGUAACAAAUUUGAAACAUGAAGUGUACCUGGCUUGUGCAUCCUUAUGAGUGGCGGUCGGAGACGAGCGAUGGUCUUCUCCUACCAAUGUAUCCCCCUAGGAGCAUGCACAUAGUACUUGAUUUUUGAUGACUUCUAAAUUUUUGCAAUAAGUAUAUGAGUUCUUUUGACUAAUGUUGAGUCCAUGGAUUAUACGCACUCUCACCUUUCCGCCAUUGCUAGCCUCUUCGGUACCGUGCAUUGCCCUUUCUCACCUUGAGAGUUGGCGCAAACUUCGCCGGUGCAUCCAAACCCCGUGAUAUGACACGCUCUAUCACACAUAAACCUCCUUAUAUCUUCCUCAAAACAGCCACCAUACCUACCUAUCAUGGCAUUUCCAUAGCCAUUCCGAGAUAUAUUGCCAUGCAACUUCCACCAUCAUCAUCGUGACAUGCAUUACUUUUGUCAUACUGCCAUUGCAUGAUCUUGUAGUUGACAUCAUAUUUGUGGCAAAGCCACCAUGCAUUAUUUUCCAUACAUGUCACUCUUGAUUCAUUGCACCAUCCCGGUACACUGCCGGAGGCAUUCAUAUAGAGUCAUAUCUUGUUCUAGUUUCGAGUUGUAAUAUCAAGUUGUUGUAAUAGAAGUGUGAUGAUCAUCAUUAUUAGAACAUUGCCCUAGUGAGAAAAAGGAUGAUGGAGACUAUGAUUCCUCCACAAUUUGGGAUGAGACUCCGGACGAAAAAAAAGAGAAGAAAGGCCAAUAAAAAAAAGAGAAGGAAGGCCAAUAAAAAAAAGAGAGAAAAAGAGAGAAGGGGCAAUGUUACUAUCCUUUUUCCACACUUGUGCUUCAAAGUAGCACCUUGUUCUUCAUGUAGUGAGUCUCAUAUAUUUGUGCUUCAAAGUAGCACCAUAUUUUUCAUAUAGUGAGUCUCAUAAAUUGUCUUGUUUAUACUAGUGGGAAAUUUUCAUUAUAGAACUUGGCUUGUAUAUUCCUACGAUGGGCUUCCUCAAAUGCCCUAGGUAUUCGUGAGCAAGCAAGUUGGAUGCACACCCACUAGUUUUCUUUUGUUGAGCAUUCAUAGCUCUAGUGCAUCCGUUGCAUGGCAAUCCCUACUCACACACAUCGAUAUCUAUUGAUGGGCAUCUCCAUAGCCCAUUGAUACGCCAAGUUGAUGUGAGACUUUCUCCUUUUUUGUCUUCUCCACACAAUCCCCAUCAUCAUAUUCUAUUCCACCCAUAGUGCUAUAUCCAUGGCUCACGCUCAUGUAUUGCGUGAAGGUUGAAAAAGUUUGAGAUUAUUUAAGUAUGAAACAAUUGCUUGGCUUGUCAUCGGGGGUAUAGAAGUUGGGAACAUCUUUGUGUGACGAAAAUGAAGCAUAGCCUAACUAUAUGAUUUUGUAGGGAUGAACUUUCUUUUGCCAUGUUAUUUUGAGAAGACAUGAUUACUUUGAUUAGUAUGCUUGAAGUAUUAUUAUUUUUGUGUCAAUAUGAACUUUUGUCUUGAAUCUUUCAGAUCUGAAUAUUCAUACCAUGAUUAAGAAGAUUUACAUUGAAAUUAUGCCAAAGUAUCACUCCGCAUCAAAAAUUCUUUUUUAUCAUUUACCUACUCGAGGACGAGCAGGAAUUAAGCUUGGGGAUGCUUGAUACGUCUCCAACGUAUCUAUAAUUUUUGAUUGCUCCAUGCUACUUUAUCUACUGUUUUGCACUAUAUUGGGCUUUAUUUUCCACUUUUAUAUUAUUUUUGGGACUAACCUAUUAACCGGAGGCCCAGCCCAGAAUUGCUGUUUUUUGCCUAUUUCAGUAUUUCAAAGAAACGGAAUAUCAAACGGAGUCCAAACGGAAUGAAACCUUCGGGAAUGUGAUUUUCUCACCGAACGUGAUCCAGGAGACUUGGACCCUACUCCAAGAAGCUUCCGAGGAGGUCACGAAGGUGGAGGACGCCCCCCCUGGGCGUGCCCCCCUGCCUCGUGGGCCCCUCGGAGCUCCACCGACGUACUCCUUCCUCCUAUAUAUACCUAUGUAUCCCCGUAUGAUCAGAACAGGAGCCAAAAACCUAAUUCCACCGCCGCAACCUUCUGUAUCCACGAGAUCCCAUCUUGGGGCCUAUUUCGGAGCUCCGCCGGAGGGGGCAUCCACCACGGAGGGCUUCUACAUCAACACCAUAGCCCCUCCGAUGAAGUGUGAGUAGUUUACUUCAGACCUUCGGGUCCAUAGCUAGUAGCUAGAUGGCUUCUUCUCUCUUUUUGGAUCUCAAUACAAUGUUCUCCCCCUCUCUUAUGGAGAUCUAUUCGAUGUAAUCUUCUUUUUGUGGUGUGUUUGUUGAGACCGAUGAAUUGUGGGUUUAUGAUCCAACUUAUCUAUGGAAAAUAUUUGAUUCUUCUCUGAAUUAUUUUAUGUAUGAUUGAGUUAUCUUUGCAAGUCUCUUCGAAUUAUCCGUUUGGUUUGGCCAACUCGAUUGGUAGUUCUUGCAAUGGGAGAAGUGCAUGGCUUUGGGUUCAAUCUUGCGGUGUCCUUACUCAGUGACAGAAAGAGUUGCAAGGCACGUAUUGUAUUGUUGCCAUCGAGGAUAACAAGAUGGGGUAUUUAUCAUAUUGCAUGAAUUUAUUCCUCUACAUCAUGUCAUCUUGCUUAAGGCGUUACUCUGUUUUUAACUUAAUACUCUAGAUGCAUGCUGGAUAGCGGUCGAUGAGUGGAGUAAUAGUAGUAGAUGCAGAAUCGUUUCGAUCUACUUGUCACGGACGUGAUGCCUAUAUACAUGAUCAUUGCCUAGAUAUACUCAUAACUAUGCUCAAUUCUGUCAAUUGCUCAACAGUAAUUUGUUCACCCACCGUAGAAUACUUAUGCUCUUGAGAGAAGCCACUAGUGAAACCUAUGGCCCCCGGGUCUAUUCUCAUCAUAUCAAUAUCCAUCACUUUAUUUACUUGCUUUGUGUUUUACUUUGCCUUUACUUUUUACUUUGCAUCUAUCUAUCAAAAAUACCAAAAAUAUUAUCUCUAUCAGAUCUCACUCUCGUAAGUAAUCGUGAAGGGAUUGACAACCCCUAAGCGUUGGUUGCGAGUUGCUAUUGUGUUGUGCAGGUACGAGGGACUUGCGUGUGACCUCCUACUGGAUUGAUACCUUGGUUCUCAAAAACUAAGGGAAAUACUUACGCUACUGUGCUGCAUCAUCCUCUCCUCUUCGGGGAAAACCAACGCAAGCUCGAGACGUAGCAGUGCCACGGACUGUCGAUCGCAUACUGGCCAAAACCCUUAAUCAUAUUAAGGGCCACAACUCUGAAGAAGAAGUAGUUGUUGGCAUCAUGAAGAACUUGGUUUUCAACAUCAUGCAUGGCAUUCCAAUCAACUAUCAUGAUUUCUUCAUGAGGACUUUGGCCAAUGCUGCUUUGUCACCUAUUGAGUUGAAGCCUUAUGCUCCCUGGAUCAUGAAAUUCUUCAGAUCAAGGACUUAAAUUCAUUACAAAGCUGAUUUCAGAAUUAUCUCAGCUAUUUGCCACCGAUUGAAGUCCUCAAAUGGACUAUUUACUCAGCUGAUGAAAAGGGCAAGGCUGCAAUUAUUAAUGAAGGCACUCGUCCUUUGGAUGGACAAUUUUCAAAGGCAGCACCCUACUCUACAAAUGAUGACUCUGCCACUCAUGAUACUGCUGCAAAUGCUUCAAAGCAAAAUCCUCAGGCCACUGCUCUGCGUGUGAUGACUGAUCGUGAGCUGCUCCUAAGUCUUCAUCAGAAGGUGGAUAGAAAUCACAAGUGGGUCAAGCGUCAGUUUGGUGCAAUUCUUCAGAACAUGAGUGUCACUCAAAACUCUGUGAAGAAGAAUCACUAUUAUCUGCAUCAAGUCUUCAACCGCACCUGGGCUAUUCUCUCACAUAUCUACACUGAUGAUGAACUCAAGCAGAUAGACUUCCAACAUGACUUUGACUGGUCUCAGCCACCUUCGAAGAAAUUCAAGAAGGUCAAAGUUCCUCAACUGGUCGUCAGCUCAUAUUCUUCAUCGCGUGAGACAAACGAAGCUUAAGAUUUGGACGACACUGCAGCAGGCCCUGCAACAACGGACGACCCCAACAACGCUGGUGCUCCUCCAUCAACAUCAUGAUGAUAUUCUCCAGGGGCAUUAGACCUCACUUUUCGUCCCUUUUGGUCAUUUGAUGACAAAGGGGGAGAAAUUUGAGUUAGUCUUCAAGCGGGUCUAUAUAUGGGUGUUUUUUCUCUAAGUUACAACUCUCGUUCUUUUGAAGUAUUUGUUGGAUCGAGGUGUAAACUUAAGUCCUAUGGUGGUCUGAUACUUUUGCUCUGUUUUUCUGCAUGCUAUUUCCUCAUUUAUGUUAAUGUACGCAUGCUAAAUUACAUCAGUCACCAUAUUCCAUCAUGCAUUUCAAAUUCUUCAUUCGAUAUGUUAAAUGCGUGUAUGAAUUACAAGAUAUAGGGGGAAAUCUCCAUGAUUCUACUCUUCAAUGUGCAUUGCUCUUUGAAAGGAAAUUCCUCACAUAUGCACAUCUUCAGCGGGAGUUCUUCUAUAUCUUGCAAUCAAAUUCCUCAAUAUUUAGCACUUUGAAUUAAUAUGUUUAUCCCCGUGAAAACUUAACCUAUUUGUCAUCAAUCACCAAAAAGGGGGAGAUUGUAAGUGCAUCUAGUGCCCCUUAGUGAUUUUGGUGUAUUGAAGACUUAUAGGUUAAGGGACUAUGUGUUUGUGAGUGUACACAUGCUCUAUAAGUCAAUGAGGAGUUUGAUAUUUACGAUGAAAGUCGACCCCUAAAAAUGUAUGUCUUCAGUUGAAGACUUUGGUUCUCCUGAAGAUUUUGAAAGUAAAGAAAUUGGUGUGACCUUGAAGACUUGGAUAUUCAUGCGAGGAUUAUGAAGCGUGAAGACUUUUGUUUUCGUAGUUUCAUUUCUCUUUCUUGAGUCAUAGGAAACACCAUACUUUUAAAGGGGGUCGAGGUAAUACUAAGGAAACUGAUUUUCAAGUGAUGCUCAUCUCAAAAUCCUACACCUACCCAAUCCUUUCGAGUGAAGCCAUUGGAAAUCUCUUAUCAGUUCAGUUAAUUUCUUUAGUGACAGAGAUGAAGAUCUUCUGGUCUGUGAGGAAUUUAUUCUGACUGAGGAGUUAGGAAUUCGCCAGUGCGGAUUGCCUACACAGUGAGAAACAUGAUAGCCCUGAGGAAUUUGAACCUCAAAUCCGACCGUUGUUGUGCUAUGCGCCAGCUAUCCUAAAAUAUCUACCCACCUAACGGUCAUAUCAUUGAAGGGAAUUUAUGUCUUAUCAUGUCAGGCUGCUCCCUAGGCUAUAAAUAGCCGCCCUCACAACUACUAGCUGGUUGGCUUCUCCAAGAGAAACUGACACUUGUCAUUGAUAACAUCCCAUCCUUCGAGGACUUUGAGCGAAAAUCAUCAAGUGAGGAAAACCCAAAACCCAAACCCAAACACCUACAAACCCAAAGUGAUUGAGCAUCACUGAAGAGAUUGUUCCUAUGUGGAAUCGACGGUUGUUACCUUUGAGGACUGUGUAUCCUCCAGACGGUUAGGUGUCAUGGUCUGAGCAUCCAAGAGGAAUUGUGGAUCGCCGAGUGACCUAGUCUGUGAAGGUUUGGAAGUCACCUAAAGACUUACCAUGAGUGUUGGGCAAGGUCUGUGUGACUUUAGCUCAAGGAUAAUACGGUGAGGACUGUGUGUCCGGGACUAUGUGUCCUCGAGUUUAAAUACUCAGUCGCUCCAACCAUACAUACAACUGUCAUAGUAGUUGGAACUGGUCUACAUAAUCAUUGUCUUCACCAAGCCAACUGGUUCUAUUUCCUCAACCCUUUCAUUUCCUCAUUCAUGUGUUGAUGAACCUGAUCAUUACUGUUUGAAGACUUUGACUGAAGACUUUCUCUAUUUACUCAAUCCAAAUUCUUCAGUCACAUUGUCUUCAGCCUGCUUAUCCUGUUUUCACGCUAUCUGUACUCUGUGCUUGUUUUCAUUUCAUCCUAAUGACUAUGCUGUUGCUCUGUUAUGUUUAUACCUGAGUAUGUAUUCCGCUGCUAGUUUGUUGUUGCUUAGGAAUUUCUUCACCUAGAAAUUCCUCAGUGAUGAAUUUGCAAACAUCACCUAUUCACCCCCCUCUAGUCGAUAUAACGCACUUUCAGAUUGCCUACAAGUGAGGAACAUUGUAGCCCUGAGGAAUUUGAGAGCUCAAAUUUCCGACCGUUGCUGUGCUACGCGCUGACCGUCCUAUAUAUCUUAUCCACCUAAUGGUCAUAUCAUUGAAUGGUAUUUAUGUCUUAUCAUGUCGGGCUGCUCCCCAUCUAUAAAUUGCCACCCCUUACAACCACUAGCUGGUUGUCUGCUCCGAGAGAUAGAUUGAUACUUUUCAUUUAGAGCAUCCCAUCCUCCGAGGACUUUGAGGGAAAAUAAUCAAGUGAGGAAAAACCCAAAACCCCAACACCUAAAACCCAAAGUGAUUGAGCAUCACUGAAGAGAUUGUUCCUGUGUGGAACCGACACUUGUUACCUUUGAACACUAUGCAUCUUCUAGACGGUUAGGCAUCAAGGUUUAGAGCAUCCAAGAGGAAUUGUGGAUCACCGAGUGACCAAGUUUGUGAAGGUUUGGAAGUCACCUUGAAGACUUACCAUGAGUGAUUGGGCGAGGUCUGUGUGACCUUAGCUCAAGGAGAAUACGGUGAGGACUGUGUUGUCGGGGCUUCUCUCUGUGGCCUCGAGCACCUAUGGGGCACUGGGGGCCCCUUCCGGUUUGGCAAGGGAGCGGGGGUCGUGCGCAGAGCAGAUCGAGGUCGGGCGCGCGCGGGGAGACGGGCAAUCUUUACCCAGCUUCGGGGCUCUCCGGAGAGAUAACACCCCUACUACUGCUUUGUGUUGUUAUUUGAUCUAGCUCAAGCGUGCGAGCGUAUGGUGGUGCUGCGGGUCUCGAAUGGACCGAACCCCUUCUACGUGCGCAUGGGCCUCCCUUUUAUAGUCUGAAGGGGGUACCCACAGGUGGCAGCGUAGGAAGAGGGGGUAGAAAUGUAAAAGCGCAGGUUGGUACAACAGUGCACAAUAGUGCCCCUACCUAACUCUGACGGCAGGGGACAAGGGCAUUAAAUGCCCGUCCGGUCGCCCCAACAGUGCAGGAGGAGUGACCGUUAAGUGAGCCACCGGUUGCCACGAUGGCGCCUCUGUCAGCUCCGUUUGCCACCUCGCUCCGCAUGGCUGCGUAGUGCCUCGCCACGUGCCCUUAGGAUGGCCUGGUGACGACGCGUCACUGGGUGUGCUGGAGUUGGGUGGCAGUCUUGCCGCGGCAAGUGCCUUGCCGCAGCCCUUCUGUUGUGCCGGCAAGCUUGCCGGCCACUGGGCCUUGCCAGGGCGCGCGGGGCGCCGCGGCAAGUCUUCUGAUGGUGCCGGGGUUGGCCUUCCCGGCAAGCUCCUCUUGCCGGGGCCUUCGUGUUCUGGGAUAAUGCUUCUUUCUUGAAUGGCAGUAGUAAGGAGUGGUGGAGAGCCUUGCCGGGCGUCCGGCGAGCUUCGCCGCGGGGUGCUGCGACUGCCCAUGCACAAGUUCGGGGUACUAAGGUACCCCCCUACUUUAGUACACCGACAGGAGCCCCCGGGCCUGGGCCAUACACGGUGCCGAGCGUUGUUGGGCCAGGCCCAAAACAGUGCACGGGUACGCGUGGCCUAGGUCCGCACAGCAAUGGGCUCCGCGCCCACCGCGCUCCCCCGCAACGGC
rnacentral:lncRNA from 1 species